UUUAAUUCGAGUUCCAUGUAAUUGUUUCGUUUCGAUUGGCGGGUUUGAUGCCAAACCAAACUCCAAUAGUGUGAUUUAUUUAAAAACCACUAUUAAUAACGGGUUUCAAAAACAAACUAACGGUCUUUAAAUAUGUUUUGAAAAUAAAGAUUAAAUGGUCAUUUGAAUCUUCGAAAUAACGAAAUAUCUCUGCCUAAAAUCAACACCAUAGUGACCCCAAGCUAAAGUAACGAAAUUCCUCAACUCCUUCCUCACCAACGAUCGAUUAUGUGCCUUCCCAAUCUCUUGCAGCCAACACACAAUGCUCCAACACUUGUUUCUUAGGGGGUGGCGACAAGACAAUUGUUCCUCAUUCCCAAUUAACCUUCCUGCUUCCCAUCAAAGGGCAUUCUGCAGUCUCUAGACAUGUGUCCGGAUACACCACACCUGUAACAUGUCACAUUUAGACAUCUUCUCUUACUAUGCGCGGUUUGGCCGUACGACAAGCAUGAUCCCUCUGCGACAUUUUCUUGAGCGAUCCUCUUCUCCCUGGCCUCUUCUUCAAGUCCUAUCUCCAGCGAAGCUGCCUUCUCAACCAAGUCAAUCAUGUCGUGGUAGUCAUGAAACUGGCAACAAAUGCGUAUAUCCACUCUCAGCCCCAUGAUGAAUUUCUGAAUCAACUCCUGCUCUCCUCUUUUUCUUCUCGCAAAUCUUUCGAGAUUGUUAAACUCUUGCUCGUAUUCUCUCACUGACUUGGUACCUUGUUGCAGUUUAAAAAACUUUAUUUCCAGCUUGUCUAUGGCCUCCUCUGGGAGAUAUCUUCUGGUGAAUUCCUCUUUGAAAAAAGCCCAUUGAUCCACACAUCCAACUUGUGCUCUCCUCAUCACACGUUCCCACCACUCAUUUGCUUCACCUCUUAGGUAGCAAGAGGCUAGAUCCCUUCAAAAGUCAACUGGGCACCUCAUGGACUUGAAUUUGGACUCCAUAUUUCUCCAGUUAUAUGCUUUAACUGGGUCUGUCCCACCAUUGAAAGUCUCUAUAUCUAAAUCUCUCAUGAGGCUCAACAUCUCCCAAUAAGAAGAGGAGAUCGCAGUGGAAGAGGAGAUCCUCUUCUGUUUUCCUUUCUUUUUGUUUUCUAAGGUUUUCGGGAGACUUAGCUAUAGGGUUUUGGACUUAAAAGAGACAAACAACCGAAAAAAAAUAUAUUAUUUUGUGGUAAAAAAAUGAUUGCCAAAAGGAAAAUGUAUAUAUUGUUAUUAUAUAAAUAUAUAAUAUGUAAUUGAAAAAUGUAUAUUUUGUUGAUAAAAUUUUGGUAAUAUAGCAAAAUUUACAUUUUCUUUUUGAAAAUCAUUUUUUACUACAAAAUAAUAUUUUUUUGAGAAAUUGUUAAAAAUGCCCCUUUUUCAAUACCCCUUUUCAAAAAUGCACCCUUUGAGAGUCCAUUUUUAAGUUUGCCCUCUUUUAAUUUUUAAUAACCAUUUUACUCUUAUUUGAAACAAAAUUAGGUCCACAAAAUACAAAAUAUUUUUUGGCGGGAAAAGUGAUCCCGCAAUUUUCCCGCCAAAACACUUGUAAAAACCUUUAAAAAACAUUGUAAAAUUUUCCCGUAAAAAUUUUUCCCGCCAAAAAAUUUUCCCGCCAAAAAAUUUUUUUUGCGGGAAAAGUGAUUCCGCAAUUUUUUUUUGCGAAAUUUUUUUGGCGGGAAAAUUUUUGGCGGGAAAAAUUUACAAGGUAUUUUAAAGGUUUUACAGAGUAUUUACAAGUGUUUUGUAAGGUUUUACAAUGUAUUUUAAAAGGUUUUACAAGGUACUUAUAAGGUUUUAUAAGGUAUUUAUAACUUGUAAAACCUUAUAAAAAACUUGUAAAACCUUAUAACUUGUAAAAACCUUAUAAAAUAGCUUGUAAAAUCUUAUAAUAUCUUAUAAAUACCUUGUAAAUACGUUGUAAAACCUUUUAAAAUACAUUGUAAAACCUUAUAAAUACCUCGUAAAAAACCUUUAAAAUACCUUGUAAAUUUUUGGCGGGAAAAAUUUUCCCGGCAAAAAUUUAACGCCAAAAAAAUUGCGGAAUCACUUUUCCCGCAAAAAAAAAUUUUUGGCGGGAAAAAGUUUUACGGGAAAAUUUUACAUGGUAUUUUAAAGGUUUUACAAGUUUUUACAAGUGUUUUGGCGGGAAAAAUUGCGGGAUCACUUUUCCCGCCAAAAAAUAUUUUGUAUUUUGUGGACCUAAUUUUGUUAUAGUUCCUUAUAUAUUUGUGAUAUCUUUUAUUAAAAGAAGGGUAAUUUAGUCAUUUUGUACAUAAAAAGGGGUAUUUUUAAAAAUGGACAGCCAAAUAGGGCAUUUUUGAAAAGGGGUAUUAAAAAAGGGGCAUUUUUGUGAGUCUCCCUAUUUUUUUCUUCUCGGUUGUUCGACGUUGAAUACCACAAAAAUGAUUUUAAAAAAAUAUGUGUAUUUUGUUAUAUUACCAAAAUUUUAUAAAUAAAUAUAGCACAAAAUCAAAUUUAUGGACUAUUUAGUGGUAUAUUUAGUUAUAUUACAAAAAUAUAUGCCAAAAUUUUGUUGCAUAAUUUUUUUGUGGUAUAUUUUGUUAUAUUUAAUUUUGGCCUGAUUUGUUAUAUUUUAAAGUAAAAUUAUGUAAUAAUUGUUAUAAUUUUUUAUCAAAAAUAAAUUUUAAAAAAAAAAUUGUUAUAAUUUUUUAAAGUAUGCAUGUGUCAUUAUGUGAUGACGUCUCUUUCGUGUAGCUGACAAACAUUUUCCCUACAUAUAAAGUCUAAUAUUGAUCUCCUCUUUCUUUCGAAUUGUUGUUAAAUAAUAUCGAACUGAAAUAUUUUUCAAUCAUGAUUUUAUCCCGCAGUACAUCGCGGAUAGAUUUUUUUAUAACUAAAAAUUUUAAAUUUGAGAUAGUAUUUGUUUUGUUAAUAUUGUUUGUUUUGUUUAGUAUUUAAAAUUGUAUAAUUAUAUUUUUGAUUGUUAAUAUUAGGAUUUCACCCAUAAUAGACUGUCUCGUAUUAAUAUCGACCCAAACCAGUCCUACCGUAUAACUGCGUCUUGUGAAAUUAAAUAUCAUUUUAUUAUUUACCAUUUUAAUAAUACUUUUAUUUAAAAGACAUAUAAUUCGAGUCAAUUUAAAAGUUUAUUUUUAAAUGGUUCCAAUAAUAUAUAUCUUUUUAAAUUUUUAUAGAGUUCAAGCAUUUAGAGCAUGGUCAUAGGUGAUACUCAUAACGUGACAUUAAGAAUUUUUUAGGAGAUGCCACGUCAGAUUUUUUUUUUUCCCCUUCUUUUGGCAAAACGCGAUCAAUCAGGAGAUGCCAUGUCAGAUGAUACUAUUGAAUCAAGAGAAGAAAAGGAAGAAAUGGAUCACUAGUCUUCCAAUCGGUCUUGCCGAUCGGUUGCAUAACCGAUCGGGUCAGCUAAGGUUUUGCCGCACGGUUGUGUCAAUCGGUUGCACAACUGAUCGAAGCCUCGUUACACUAUCGAUCGGUUAUGCCGAUCGGUUGCACAACCGAUUGAAGGUCCUCGCCCGUACGGCCAACUUUUGGUCCGUCCGUACCAUUGAAGUUUUGUCUCGACCCACAACAUUUUCUCUCGGCCAUUUAGCCUUGGAUCCUCUCCAAGAUGCUUCUAGAAGCCUCCGGAUCCUUCCCCAGCCUUCCUAAGCUUAUCCAAAGCUUCACCAAGGUUCUAGAAGACUCUAGACCCUUCCAAGAGAGCCGUUGCUCGUUCGAAGGAAGAAGAAGACAAGAAACGCUUUAUGACCACCUUUAUGACGCGUUUUCUAGCUCAUGACCGUUGUACAUAGUGAAUAUCCUAAGGGAUAUUCCUUUUGCUUUGUCCUUAAAAAGGAAUCUUUGUAUUUACCAAUUUUAGUAAGAAAGAGAAAUAAUCUUUCCCAUCUCUCAAAUCUCUUCACUCUCUAUUUCGUUUACACUUUUCCGAUCAAGUUCUCAUCUUUUCCGAUUAUCUUCUUGUCCCAUCGAAACCUAAAGCUCCAUAAUCUAACAUGGUAUCAGAGCCAUAAGCUCCAUAUCCUUCAUUCAACCCACCUCAUUUACUUCCGCACCAAAGCUCUCUCUUUUCUUUGAUUGUGUUCGAUGAGUUCGCUUUAUGAUGAGAUGAGUUCUCUACACUCAAAAAUCAUUCCGGGUAUCCUCAAGGGAGGAAACUACUUGCUGUGGUCACGAACCACAAGAUCUGCCUUGUGUAGUCGGGGACUUUGGAACCAUAUCGUGAACGAAGAGGCGCCAAAGGAGACGACCACAAUAGAUGGACAAGAAAUCGUUCUUGUUGAUGAGGGGAAAUGGUUCCAAGAAGAUCAAUCGGUCUUGGUCCUCCUCCGAAACUCGCUUGAGUCCUCAAUACUCGAAGCUUACUCCUAUUGUGAAACUCCUAAAGAGCUUUGGGAUACUCUCUUUAAUGUGUUUGGGAAUCUCUCCAACUUGAGCCGGGUGUUCGAAGUGAAGAAGGCCAUCAACGAUCUCUCUCAAGGAGACAUGGAGUUCACUCAACAUUUUGGCAAGUUUAGGUCUCUUUGGGCGGAGCUCGAGAUGCUAAGGCCUAACACCAUUGAUCCGGCGAUCCUCAACGAAAGGCGUGAACAAGACAAGGUCUUUGGUCUCCUUCUCACCUUGAACUCCACCUACAAUGAUCUCAUCAAGCACUUACUCCGAGCCGAGAAGCUACCUAACCUAGAAGAAGUGUGCUCUCAAAUCCAAAAGGAGCAAGGAUCUCUUGGUCUCUUCGGAAACAAAGGAGAGCUUGCUACAGCCAACAAAGGAGAACUCACCACCGCCAACAAGGGAAGCUACAAGUCCGAGAACAAGAGAGGCCUAACUUGUGACCAUUGCAAAAAGACGGGUCAUACCAAGGAGAAGUGUUGGAUUCUUCACCCCCAUCUCCGACCAAGUAAAUGGAAGGAUCCUAAAGCUCAUCAAGCGAACUGGAGCCAAGAGACUCAAGACAUCUCCGGACCCGGACCCUCAACUCAAGCUAAUGGUGUUGGAGCGGCAAUGAUGGCGUCUUCAGAGUAUGUGAAGAAAUCUGACCUCGGUGCUCUUAUUAAGGCUCUUAAGGAGUCAUCCGGUAAAUCCUAUCAUGCUAUUGCUCAUACUCUAAAACCUCUUAUUGUUGAUUCGGGAGCCUCUCAUCACAUGAUUAGUGAUUCUAGGCUAAUGAACAAUAUUGAACCGGCUUUAGGAAACGUGGUAAUUGCUAAUGGGGAUAAAAUUCCGGUUAAAGGAAUAGGUGAUUUAGAGCUAUUUGAUAAGAAGUCUAAAGCCUUUUACAUGCCAAAUUUUACUUCUAACUUGCUUUCCGUUAAAAGAGCAACGACCGAUUUAAAUUGUUAUGCGAUAUUUGGACCUAAUGAUGUUUACUUUCAGGAUAUUGAAUCAAGUAGGGUGCUUGGUCAAGAAGUUACAAAGGAUGGUCUUUAUGUUCUAGAAGACACAAAGCUAUCCGAACCUUUAUCUUCUCAUUUUAGUUCAAGUAUUGUUGUUGCGAAUAGUGCUAUUUGGCAUGCUAGACUAGGUCAUCCCCAUCCUCGGGCUUUAAGUUUAAUGCUACCAAAAGUUUCAUUUCAAAGUCUUGAUUGUGAAGCUUGUAUCCUUGGUAAACAUUGCAAAGCUAUUUUUCCUAAGUCUUCUACUAUUUAUGAAAGUUGCUUUGAUUUAAUUCAUUCGGAUGUGUGGACUUCACCUUGUUUAUCAAGAGAAAACCAAAAAUAUUUUGUCACAUUUAUUGAUGAAAAAUCAAAGUAUACUUGGCUUACUCUCCUUCCUUCAAAAGAUCGUGUUCUUGAAGCUUUUAAAAACUUUCAUACUUAUGUGACUAACCAAUACAAUGCCAAGAUUAAGAUUUUUAGAUCCGACAAUGGUGGGGAGUAUACAAGUCAAGCAUUCAAGGAGCACCUAGCAUCACACGGAAUCAUCCACCAAACAAGUUGCCCUUACACUCCUCAACAAAAUGGUGUAUCCGAACGCAAGAAUCGACACCUAAUGGAGAUUGCAAGGUCCAUAAUGUUUCACACCAAUGUUCCAAAGAGAUUUUGGAGUGAUGCCGUGAUGACCGCGUGUUACUUGAUCAAUAGAACACCAACAAAGAUUCUACAAGACAAGUCUCCAUUUGAGGUACUCACUAAGACUAAGCCUUCUCUUGAUCACUUACGUGUGUUUGGUUGUGUUUGCUAUGUCUUAGUUCCCGGAGAUCAAAGGAACAAGCUCCAAGCCAAAAGCACUAAGGGAAUGUUCAUCGGGUAUUCAACAACUCAAAAGGGUUACAAGUGUUAUGUACCAGAGUCAAGGAAAGUAUUGGUGUCAAGAGAUGUGAAGUUUGUGGAAGACAAGGGAUUCUAUGACAAGAAGGAUUGGGAAAGUCUUAAGGAUCUGUCUAGCUCACCAUCGGAUAGAGCUACUAACCUUCGGAUUAUUCUUGAGAAGCUUGGAAUUGAGAACUACCAACCUUCACAAACUCAAGCUUCACACCCGCCACAAGGACAAGAGACUCAAGAACAAGAAGAAGAAAGUCUUGAGGAAGAAGUCCAAGACACUCAAAAUGAAGAGAAUGAUCUCAACACUCAAGAAGAAGAUCAUAUACCCGAUGGUGAUGGCUCCAACGAAUUGAAUCAAGAGGAAGAAGACACUACUCAAGAAGUGACUCAAGAAGUGAUACCUUUAAGAAGAAGUGAAAGAUUGAAAGACAAGAGAGUCUACUACAAUGCCAAUGCGGUAGCUCAUCCAAUUCAAGCCGUAUGCACUCUUGCUCACCUACCCGAAGAACAUCAAGUCUACCUUAGCAAAGUUGAUCAACAUUGGAUUCCCACAACAUAUGAAGAAGCCAUGCAACAUCAAGUGUGGAGAGACGCUAUAGAAGCCGAAAGACAAGCCAUGAUAAACAACCACACAUGGGAUGAAAAGGAUCUACCUAGAGGAAGGAAAGCCGUGACCUCUAAAUGGGUAUUCACCAUCAAGUAUAAGAGUGACGGAGAAAUUGACAGGUACAAGGCUAGACUUGUAGCAAGAGGCUUUACCCAAAAAUAUGGAGAAGACUACCUUGAUACUUUCGCCCCGGUGGCCAAACUUCACACGGUUCGAGUGGUUCUUUCAUUGGCUACUAACUUGGAAUGGGAUCUUUGGCAAAUGGAUGUCAAGAAUGCAUUCCUUCAAGGAGAAUUAGAGGAAGAAGUGUAUAUGAGACCACCACCGGGCCUAGAAGAUAAAGAAGCACCCGGGAAAGUUCUUAAGCUCAACAAAGCAAUCUAUGGCCUUAAGCAAUCUCCGAGAGCUUGGUAUCACAAGCUUAGCACCACACUUCUAGGAAGAGGAUUCAAGAGAUCCGAAGCUGACCAUACACUCUUCACUCUCCCUAGCCAAGAAGGUAUAGUAGUCAUUCUCGUUUAUGUAGAUGAUAUUAUCAUCUCCGGGAAUGACAAGGUUGGUAUUCAAGAUACUAAAGAUUUCCUUAAAAGUGUCUUUGAUAUUAAAGAUCUUGGAGAACUAAAAUACUUUCUUGGGAUAGAAGUAUGUAGAUCAAAGGAGGGUCUCUUCUUAUCUCAACGAAAGUAUACUCUUGAUCUUCUUGAUGAAGUAGGUAAGCUUGGCGCUAAACCAGCAAAGACUCCCUUGGAAGAUGACUACAAAGCUAGACGAAAGGGGGAGCAUGAUAACAAGCCUUUCGAAGAUCCUACCAAGUAUCGGAGGCUAGUAGGUAAGCUCAUCUAUUUAACCAUCACUAGGCCUGAUAUUUGCUUUGCCGUGAAUGUAGUGAGCCAACAAAUGCAAGCUCCAACUCAACACCAUUGGAAUAUGGUGAACCGCAUCCUCAAGUAUCUCAAAGGCGCUCCGGGUCAAGGCAUUUGGAUGGGAUGCAAUAGGAACACGGAGCUUGUUGGGUAUUGUGAUGCUGAUUACGCCGGAGACAAGAAUGAUAGAAGAUCAACAACCGGCUAUUGUACUUUCAUUGGUGGAAAUCUAGUGACUUGGAGAAGCAAGAAGCAAAAGGUGGUGUCUCUUUCAAGUGCCGAAGCUGAGUACCGGGCCAUGAGAAAGCUUACUACGGAGCUAAUGUGGCGAAAGGCUCUCCUCAAAGACUUUGGUAUAGACACGCCCCAACCAAUCACCAUGCAUUGUGACAACCAAGCCGCCAUUCACAUAGCAACCAACUCGGUGUUUCAUGAGAGAACGAAGCACAUUGAAGUCGAUUGCCACAAAGCACGAGAGCAAAUCCAACUUGGAGUGAUCUUGCCACAUUAUACCGAAAGUGAAGAACAAUUGGCUGACAUCUUCACCAAAGGAGCUAGCACCAAGGUGUGUGAAUACAUUCACCAAAAGUUAGGUCUUGUUGACUUAACUCAGCCACAAUCCCCUUAGCCAAAUAUCCCAUACUCUUUUUCCCUAAGUGUGGUUUUAUCCCAUGAGGUUUUCUACACUUAGGUUUUUAAUGAGGUGGUUGAAUUUGGAUCCAAGUCUAACCUCCAUCUUUCUCCGGUUAGACUUGAGGGGGAGUAUUGAAUCAAGAGAAGAAAAGGAAGAAAUGGAUCACUAGUCUUCCAAUCGGUCUUGCCGAUCGGUUGCAUAAACGAUCGGGUCAGCUAAGGUUUUGCCGCACGGUUGUGUCAAUCGGUUGCACAACUGAUCGAAGCCUCGUUACACUAUCGAUCGGUUAUGCCGAUCGGUUGCACAACCGAUUGAAGGUCCUCGCCCGUACGGCCAACUUUUGGUCCGUCCGUACCAUUGAAGUUUUGUCUCGACCCACAACAUUUUCUCUCGGCCAUUUAGCCUUGGAUCCUCUCCAAGAUGCUUCUAGAAGCCUCCGGAUCCUUCCCCAGCCUUCCUAAGCUUAUCCAAAGCUUCACCAAGGUUCUAGAAGACUCUAGACCCUUCCAAGAGAGCCGUUGCUCGUUCAAAGGAAGAAGAAGACAAGAAACGCUUUAUGACCACCUUUAUGACGCGUUUUCUAGCUCAUGACCGUUGUACAUAGUGAAUAUCCUAAGGGAUAUUCCUUUUGCUUUGUCCUUAAAAAGGAACCUUUGUAUUUACCAAUUUUAGUAAGAAAGAGAAAUAAUCUUUCCCAUCUCUCAAAUCUCUUUACUCUCUCUUUCGUUUACACUUUUCCGAUCAAGUUCUCAUCUUUUCCGAUUAUCUUCUUGUCCCAUCGAAACCUAAAGCUCCAUAAUCUAACAGAUACUAGUAUCAAAAAUAUCAUUGGGCUGAUACGGAUCAGGCCCAUUCUAAUUGUUUUGUCCAUAUAAAAAUAAUUUUUGCGCUUGUGAUACUCUAAAAAUAUCACUCAUGUACAUGGUCUUAGUAGGUAAAUAUUUUUUCAAAGGAUGUAUCAAAUAUACUAAUCUCUAUUUUAAUUAGCGCUAUUCACAUAGUUAUAUUUAUAAGCUAUAUAAAACAAGAUAUUUAGUAGGUAACUAUUUUUCCUAAGGAUGCAUAAUUUAUCAAUAUUUUUAAUAAUUACCAUAAAAUUUUAUAUUUUAAAAACAUUCAUGCAUUUUUUGUUUACUCUUUUUUUUUUAAUAUCUUAGGUUUAUUUUAUAACUUCUACUUUUGUCUUUCUUUUUAUUGUUGCUUAUACAAUAUUAUGCUCAUGUUUUGCUUAUGUUUUGCUUACUUUUUUUUAAUUUUUAUCGAUUGUUUUAUUUUUUUCUUAGUUUAUUAGUCAAAAACACAGAAAAAUUGCUACCAUAUUGUGACUUUCAUCCUUAAAAACUAGAGAAAUUGGAGAAAUAAGUGUGUUGGAACAUAAAAAAUGAGUAGAGAUUUGGUGUGUAUAUGGUUUAAGACUCAUGAAUGCAUACGGCCUGGCCCUCCAUAAAAUAUGUAACCAAUCAUCUCUAAACAUGGCUCUGAUGUUGUAGAACUUAGGGUCGUCUACUUUUACUGGUGUGUCUUAAACGGACUUGAAUAUGUUGUUAUCUACGAUCUCCAAGUUGUGAAAGUAGCUAACUUUGCUGAAGCCUUCGUCGGAGAAACGACCAGAUCCCAUCUGUGUUGUCGUGUGUCGGCCAAAACUUUGCGAAUUCACGAACUCAACACCCCAUUGCACUCGUCUGCAUAAGCUAACUUUUGGAAAAUUGCAGCUGGCCAAUAUCCUAUCAAUGAAUGCUUGGAUCCCAAACUCAGCCACUAGUUUCCGGACUGCUGAUCCUAUACAUAUUUAUUUAUCAACGAUGAUAUUUAACUUUUAGUUUGGAAAUUUAAAACUCAUUAUGUAAAAAUAUAAGUUUUUUAACAGUAACCUAACUAACCUUCCAUACUAAUAUGGUGAUCUCAAAUUGUUUUCCUUCGAAUGUAGAGACGGGAGUAAUGGUGUCUCCAAGAACAAUGUUGUUACUUGUUUGUAUGAAACCUGGACAGUGAAGGUUGUAGGAUCCGGUUACAUUAUAAGUGUCGCUUUGAAUAUAAUUUUAUAUUAUUUUUUAUAAGUAAACUUAUCAAAAUCAGGUUAUUGUACAUGGUUUUAAAUUACGUAUUUCAAAAGAACCAAUGCACUAAAACUCUUAAACUUAUAUGCAUUUGAAGAGGAACUAGGGAAAAUUUAACCAAUGAUAUUUUUUCUUUUUUUAGAAUGAUUACUAGGAAAUGAAAAUUUUAAAAUGAUAAUAAAUUUGGAGUGUAAUUGAUAAGGAUGGGAGUUACUAUUUGCAUUCUAGAUAUGUCAUAAAUGUCAAUAAAGACAAGGACUAGAUUAAAAUCAUGUUAUUUUAUAUCCCAAAUCCCUAUACCAUUUAGUUCAUUAGUCAGAAACACAUAAAAAAAAUUGCUACCAAAUUGUGACUUUCAUCCUUAGAAGCUAGAACAAUUGGAGAAAUAGGUGUGUUGGAACAUAAAACCGAGUAGAGAUUUAGUGUUGAUAUGAUUUAUGAUAAUUUUAUUUCAAAAUGGAGUUUAAAAGGAAGUUGAAUUAUCUUUUCCCAUGUAAGCUCUUCUGUAGCGGACCGUCCGUUUCUAAUUUGAAUGGAUGAACUUAUUUUGCUGUCAAAAAAAAAAAAAGUGGAAUGAUAUUAAUUUAGUUAUCUAAAUGGCCAACAUAUGUAACAUAAAUAGGGGAUACCAAAAACUUUUAAAACUUUUUUUAAUAUUUUUUUAUUUUCUUUUUCAUCAUUUAGAGUGAUAUAUAUAUAAAUAAAAAAAAUUCGAUAAAUAAAAUCAAAUAACUCCAUGACACAUCUUUUAUAUUUUUUCUUUGUUUUAUUUUCACUAAAAUUAAAAAUUUAACCGGAAAACUGUAAGAGUUUGGGUGAGUUUGCCGAAAAUAGUGAAAAAAUGUUAGUAAAGCUGUUCGAUUCGCAUAGCAAGAUACAACACUACUUGGUGGAGUCAUCACACGCAAGUGAGACUUUAAUUUUAUGGUGAAAUGGUUCACAAAUAGCAAACCUUGUAGGAAAGGGAAAGUGGAUUGGGACCAUUUCCAUGUGUUGAGGCUAGACAAAGAAGGAAAUGCUCUCUAUACUAAAGACUUUGGAGGUAUUCGCAUUUUUGUCUCCAAAGCUGAACCUCUUUUUGUCUCCCAGCUUCUUGAUUAUAUGACCAAUGCCCAUACUGUAGAUAUUACUUAGGGAACCACGACGUUGGAAUAAAAUGCAUGGACGAUGAAGAGUACAAGACAGGUGGAUCCGAAACUUUCACUGCCCGAUAAUGGUUUCCACCAAAACUAGACUAAUAUAUGUCACAUUGUUUAACAUGUUUUGUUUCCAUUUUUCUUCUAUGAACAUGUAGAAUUUCUAAAUUCUCUUAGACUCCAUAAAGGUGUGAGAAUGAACAAGCUAGACGAUAUGACAAGCGUUUCUUUAUUUCUCAUGUGGAUUUUAUAAUUUCAACGAUGAUUUUAGUGAGACUAAUUGAUUAAUCUAUUGGCAUAUCUUUGGAGAAAAAGCAGUGACUGUGAUGUUUAAUAUAAUUAAGAAAGAAUGUAUAAACUAGGAGGUUGUGAAUAGCGUAAACCCUGAAAGCAAACUAUGUAAGUAAACAACAAUGAGGUCUUUGGAACAUUUUUGCUCUCUUUUUAGUAAACAAUAAUGAAUUUUAAUAAACGAGGCUUGCAAAUAAGCACAAGUAUUUCCUACUGAGAACAGAGAAUGGAAAUGCUCUAGAGAGAAGAACAACAACGGGGAGGGGACAUGUACUCUUCUUCGUAGUCAUGUUUCUUGUUUUGGGGGAGGGGUCAUGCACUCUCUCCCUACAAUGUUUUAGCAUCAACCAAAUUAAGUCAGCAAAUCAAAAUAAUGCAUUCUAUUUCACAUUAGGAAUCUCUCCAAAGAUACUAAAACUUGCCUCUGGUUGCUUCCUCUUCAUCAUCCGAGGAGAUGAUUCAGGGGAAACCUGAUUAACAAAAAAUAUGCACAUCUAAGUGGAAAAAUUUAGCAUGGGGGUCCAAAACUAGACGUAAGAAAGGAGGUUGUUGAAUCAAAUGGUUACAUGAACAUGAGUUUUGAGAUGCUUGAUGAAAUUUUCAAAGCCUUGUUGGUCAGGAAGACAACAUUGUCCGCAAACCAAACCCGGCUCCUUCUCAAGUACCCCUGACUCAAUUGCAUCUAUGGAAAAAGUAACUGAUUAGUUCAGAAACAACAACAACUUUAUUAAGAGAAGGAAGACAAACACCUACCUGGCCUUAAGCUUGCCAGAAAGUUUUCCCAGACGCGGGACGGUACAGGAGUGGAGUCUACGUCUUGUUGAUCAAAUGGAAAGUUCUGAAUAACAGUGUGUCCUGCCUCUUCGAAGAACCUAUGAUUCCGACGGAAGAUCUCAUCACCGGAUAUGAGCAUGAAAUUAACAGGAAUUGGAUGUUCUUUUAUCCACCACAUCAGUUCAAGAGUAAUCCCUAAGCGUUCUGUUUCAGAAAAUAAAUAAUUAAGACUCUUUCUCUAUGUAGAAAGAAAGACACAAGUGAUAAACUAACCGGAACUGACGUGAGUAAGAGAGACUCCAGAGGAAUAGACAGCCUGCAGGACGUCGGUAUCGAUGUCUGUUAGUAUGCCAAUUGCAGUGAGGGUGAUACAACCAGAGUAGCCUAAAUUCUUCAACGCUCGUUUUAUACACGGGCCAACCCUACUAGCAACAUCUGAGGAAGAAACCGGACAAGAACUUAUAUCCCAAAAUAUCCAUGUUUCAGCCUCUUUCGUCGCCAUUAUCGUUCAAACCCUUUUUAACCCUAAAAAAAAUCCAAAAUUUGGGCAAACAAAUCGCAGUUACGUGUGCGUGUGCGGUGUGCCUUUAGAUCAUCACCCGGAGGACGUUAGAGAGAGGAACAAGGCCGGCCAUAUCUUCUCAUUAGGUCAAAUAUGUAAACUUUGCAGCUUUCUCGUUGUGUUGGGUUGGUUUAUAUGGGCCCAUAAUCGUGGCCCAUUAGGUAGGUGUUUUCUGUUUUUAGUUGUGUGUUGAUUGUCUACAGAUAGGGAUGUCAAUCGGGCCUCUAACCCGCGGGCCUGGCCUAAUAUGUCACUUAGCAGGGCGGGCUUGGGCCCUUAAAUGGAUGCCCAUAAAAGAGCGAGUAUCGAAUUGUUAUGAAUAAUGGGUUAUUAUGUAGAUGCCUAUUAUAGAUCCAUUAGGAUAUUCUAAAAAAUUCUAUACUAUUUGUUCUCCAAGCUAAAACUCUACGUAUCGCGGUCUAGACCCAUACGGUUUGCGGGUCAAACGGAUUUUGUCCUAUGCGGGUCGCGGGUUUGCGGGUUGUCCGAAGUUUCGUUCAUCUCCAUCCUUCUUGAUUCAAAUCUUCUGGAAUUCUCCAUUAAUCUGAAUUUAUUUUUAAUUUUUUGCUUCCAUUCUUCUCAAAUUAUCGAUUAAUUGAAAGAAUUGUAGCCAUCCUUACUUCACAUGAUUCAGUCGAACAAGGACUAUGGUCGAGUAGUCGGGCAAAUCCAAUCAUCGAUUCUAGACAAGUAUAUGUUUGGUUUAGGUUUGUUAAUGGUUUAGAGUCUGAACCAUUCCCUUCUUGUUCUUUAUCUUUAAGACUUUAACUCGGAUAAGAAUGCAAAGUGAAUGCAUUAUCUUUGCAUCUGAGUGUUGUGAAUGCGUUAUUCCAACUUAUGAGUAUCACUAAUGCACCUUUCAAGUUUGAUACAACAUCACUAAUGGAAUAACAUCCUAGAGAACCGGUCCAAAAGGUAUCGAGUUCUUUCUUUCUUCGUUUUCGUCAUGUGAUGGAGUAUACAGAUAGAUCUGAAUAAUAGUGAUUAGAUGCUCUUUUCUUGCCCAUCUUAUUGAAAAUGUAUGUAUUAAUUUAAUGCAAUCUUGAGUCCAUAUUUGUGUAGAAAACAACAAAUGUUACAGUGGCUAGAAAUGAUAUGGCAUUUUGGCCAACAGAGCAGAAUCUCAAUGCUGUCUUAUGUGGUUGUGUGAUUUGAUUGACGAAAUCCAGUUGAGUUGAUUAUAAAUUUGGGAAAAAUACAAUUGGGGAACUUCUUGAAUGUGGUAGAGUCAUAACUUCUUGUAUGGUCCAUUGACUUGGUUGCUGGAAAUUGAUGAUGAGACUAGAAAAUGAAAUUUUUAGUUCGAGUGAAAAAGGCGUCCAUAUACACACCUUGUUGAUUUUUUGUUUCAAUGUGGCACACGUAAUGGAUCCGAAAUUGAUCUUGUAGAGUUGAUGAUCUCUCUUUCUCUAAGUUAGUCACUGCGAGUAAAAACUCCGCAACAUUUCUAUGUUUCUGAGAUUUACCUCAAUUUCUUGUUAAAAUUCUGAGAUUUACCUCAAAUUCUUGUUAAAAAUGCAUUUAGAUAUAUACACUUAGGCCUGGGCAAAUAAACCGAACCGAAUGUACCGAACCGAAACCGAAGCAAAAAAAACCGAACCGAACCGAACCGAAAAUUUGAAAAUAACCGAAUGGAUACUAAAUUCUAUAACCGAAAUAACCGUAACCGAAUCGGUACCGAACCGAAAUAUUUUGGGUAACUGAAAUAUUUUGGGUAACCGAAAUACCCGAAGUACAAUUAUAUUUUCAAAAUAAUUAGUUAUUUAUAGACCAAAUAAUCAAAAAUACUUGAAAAAUAUAUAAAAAUAGUAAAAAAUACUCAAAAAUAACCGAAAUAUAUCCAAAAAUAUCCGAAAAUACUCAAAAAUAACCGAAAUAUCCGAAACUAUCCUAAGCAAAAUAACCGAAUGGAUACUAAAUUUUAAAACCGAAAGAACCGGAACCGAACGGAAACCGAACCGAAAUUUUAAAAUAUCCGAAUGAAUACUAAAUUUUGAAACCGAAAGAACCGAAACCGAAUGGACCCAACCGAUAACCGAACGGUUAACCGAAAGCCCAGGCCUAAUACACUUCUCUAGUUCAUCGUUCUAGAGGGGUCACUUUUUUUUAUGCCAAAGUAAUUUAAUGCAUAGUGAUAUCGUUUUUUAGUCGUAGUGACGCAGGGAAGAACAAAUUUGCUCUGCAACCAGAAAAACCCAUUAUUGGUCUCACAAUAUAAGAAAUUUACAUUUUAACUUCUAUUAUGUUUUAAAAUUUAUUUAUUUAUUUUUAAAAUCUGAAAAUAUGAAAAAAAAACAAAAACAAAAACAAAAAUACACUCAGAUAUUGAAAGACUGGUAUCGUAUUUUGGAGAAAAAAAUCUUUGGCUUUAGUUAAUUAAAAGAGUUUGUAUCAACAUAUAUAGUUUGAUAUUAAUAUAUUUUAUGGAAAAAAUCUCAGAAAAGUUUUAGAAGUAGUUUACGUACAUGCACUUGAAACUUUAAAAUAAUGUUCAUUCCUACAAAAAAAAAUUCCAGAAUACACAUGACAAUCUUAUUUAUAUCAUCAUUUUGAAUUUUGAUCCCAGAGAAAGAAAAACAAUCCCCAAUUCAACAGCAAAGUUAACGAAACAGUUAAUCUAUAUGACAAUAUUUGUCAGAAAAAAGUAUUUCAUAUAAUUUAUAUCAUCAUUUUAAGUAUAUAUAUACAACACAUCUAUUUAUAAAAUUUUCACCUGAAUUUCAGUAGCUAUUUUUUUUAAAAAAAGAGAUUUUUACUUGUUUAAAUAAAUAAGUGUGGGUUCUCUCUCUGGCGACUGAAAAAGCGAUUUGUCUUGCUUUCGAUGAAUCCGAGGGAGAUUCAAUUGCUUCAAAUAUUUUGCCCGUGAAUUCAGUGAUGAUGAUAAUUUCUGGAGUUUCUUUUACUCUUCUCUCUUUGUUCCUCGUCUCAAUCCACCGUAACCGUUCUUUAUCUCAAGUAUGUCUUCUCGUCGCGGCGGUUAUGGUUCUUACUCAUUUUCUGAUUCUCAAUGGCUCAUCAAAAUCUGGCGAAUUUUCGCUUGUAAUUGCUGAUGGUGAUUCAGUUUGGGGAUUGGUGAGCGGAACAAUAAUUUGGCUUUUCAGUUGCUCUCUCUUUCACUUUGAAACUUUUUCAUCCGCUGGUAAUGGUUCAUUUUCCUUUGCCCGCGAUGUCUUUGGCGACGCCUCUCUUUCAACGGAUCAGGCGAUGAUUUCUCUCAAUUUCCCUAAAGGAGAUUUGAAUGUUCUUCCGAUUGAUUAUGUGUGGAUGAUCACAAUUAUCGAUGGUUUUCUUCCGACGGUCUUCGGCGGCUACUCUCCGUUUGAUUCAUUUUCAAACGGCUGUGAUUUAUCGGUCCAGUUUCAUGAUGAAAUUUUGACUGCAUUAUUGUGGAAACAACCGCCAUGGAAACCACCAUGGAAAUCAAUGAAGCAUGUGAUCUCUGUGAAGAGUUUAUCAACUCUCCAUGAUGACCGACAUUCCCAAUACUUUAUUGGGAUUGACAGUGAAGGCGAAUUAGAGAGGUGUUUCAUGCAUACACCGGUUCAUAGCAACAGUUCGAGGCAGUGUCUAAGGAUAUGGUGGAGAGAGAUCAUGUUGUCUUUGAUGUUACGAGUAUACCUCGGUAAAUUUUUGCCGAGGAUAUCAUUAUUGAUCAAGAAAUAUGAACGCUCAACAAUCGUUAAUUUCGACGCGGGCCUUUGGGGAUGUCUACAUGGAACGAGAUUCAGAAGAUGGUACUCACCAUUUCAACAAUUAUGGGCACAAGCUAUAACCAAGAAAGAUGUCAUCUCUUAUUGUUGGAGAUGUUUUAAUGGGAAGCGAUGUAACAGAUGGAUCGCAACCAAUGAUCGUUUUAAAGUUUAUUGGAGUUUCGUCAAAAAGACGAUAGCCAAACAAGAUGAUCAUGUCGGAUUAAGGAAGAAGACGAAUAAGGAAGAUAAUAGAUUUGAUAAUCUAUUAGCGUGUAAGGCUUAUGAAAGAAAGCGGCGUUUAAUUCACUUGUUCGAUUGUAUUUUCUUCUUAAACGUUAAUCAUUUCUUGAUUAUAUGUGUAUGUCUAAGAAAUAACUAUGUAUCUCUGUUUCAAUUUUAAUAAAGUAAAGUAAGAUGUUAAAAAAUUAAUAAAUAAGUGUAUACAAACAAAACCAUACGAAAUUACGAACAUACGCAUAUGAGGAGGAGGAGAAGAAAAAAAAGGAAAAGACAUAGUAAAAAAGGAAAAGACAUUAGGAUUUGUAAUCUCUAUAUAUGUUGUGCCUUGCCUCUACUCUUUUUUCACUCUUUCUCUCUCUUUUCACGUUUCCAUUAUCUCUCUUAUUUUCUCUGUAAGAAAAAUGGAAAAAACCCUAAUAAUGCCGUCGAAGGUAUCUGACUGCACGAUGAGGAAAAGAGGAACAAAGAGAAAGAUUGAAAUUCAGAAACGCUUCACUAAACAACAACGAUCGGUGGCUUGCAGCAAACGCCGUCCUACACUCUUCUCCAAAGCCGCUGAUCUUUGUCUUCUCUCCGGAGCCAACAUCGCCGUCUUCGUAACCUCUCCGGACGAGAACUCCGACAUUGUUUACUCCUUCUCCGGCUACUCUCCUGCCUCUGAAAUUGUUGAUUGUUACCUCAACGCCAAGUCUCCUCCCAAUAUUAUUAACCCUCAAUCCAAGUUAGGGUUUUGGUGGGAAGACCCUGAUCUCUACCUUUAUUGUGACGAUCUCUCUGAGUUAAGUAUCAUUGAAGAUCGUAUGAUGAGAACGAAGAAGCAUCUGUUGGAUUGUCUUGAGAAGAAAGAAAAAUCACAAUUUCUUUCGAAAUCCGAUCAAAACCCUAACACCGACGAGAUAUUCAAUAAUGGUGGGUCUUCUUCUUCUUCUUCUUCUUCUCAAAUUGCUUCUGAUUUAGGUCAAAACCCUAGCACCUCUUCUCCGUAUUCCUCACACAUUGUUUCUUUUGAUCAGAACUCUUACUCCUCCCUUGACAAGUUAUGUGGCGAGCCUUCGUCACAAGUUACUUGUUAUGAUCAAAACCCUAUCUUCUCUGUUGGCGAGUCAUUAUGUGAUCAAUCUCGUUACUUGGUGAAUGAAGAUCCUGGAUUUGUUAACUGCUUAUGUGAAACAGGGGAGGAGAAUAACGGAAUGAGUGUAGCCCAAGAAACACAAACACAAUCGAUGCUCAUUGAAGAUCAGAGCUUUUGGGAAAACCUACUUAAAGAUGAGGACAACGUGUUUGGUCUUCUUAACGACAACAACCUUGAGGUUCCUCUUCAAGAUCGAUCCUCAACCAACGAAGAAGACGAGUUUAUGAUCGAUAUCAGUGAAUUCUUAAGCGAAGAAGAAGAAUUCGAAUGGCCCCUGUUUUAGUUAGUUCUCUAUUAAGCCAAGUUAAUUAGGGUAUUAAUCUAUCUUAAAACUCUAACUUGAUCUGUUCAUUAGGUAAUUACCAUUUAUUUUGUUGUGUGUAACGAUCUCUAGAUUCAUGUUGUUUAUUGUUUUUAAUCUUCGAAUUAUCAGAUUUUGUGUCGUCGAAACAGAGUUUCUUGAUGGUGAAAAUUUCUGUUUAUUCUACAAUUUUGAUUAUAUAUCUCAUAUUCGUUUUGAUUUGUUGAGAUCGAUUGAUUAAGCUAUACAUUGCCUUGUCUUCUCUUGCCGUUCUUGUUGAAAUGUUUGCUUUUUAUGGUUUUGAUGCAAUCUUGAGUAGACAUUUGUGUUGAAAAGAAUAAUGUUGCAGUGGCUAGGGAUGGUUUGAUUUUUUGGCCAAACUAGAAGAAUUUGUAAAUUUGGCAACAAUAAGUUUCAUAACUUCUUGUAUGUUGUAGAUUAGUGUAAGGAGGAAGUUGGAACAUUAGGGUCCAUUGACUUUGUUACUAGCUAAGAUAUUCAAAGAUAACGCAUUUUGUAUUUCAAGUGAAAAAAGCGUCCAUAUACACACUUGUUGAUUUGUUGUUUCAACGUGGCACACGUAAUGGAUGCGAUAUUGAUCUUGUAGAGUUGAUGAUCUCUCUUUGUCUCUGUUAGUCUUUGUGAGUGAAAACUCUCCAACAUUCUCUGUUCUUGAAAUCAAUUUUGCCUCGCUACUAGUUUUUUGUUUCGUAAGUUCUGUGUCAGUGAAUUUGGAUUUUGUGAAUUUGUGAAUCUCAAAAUCAACAUUUUUCAGAGUUCAAUUUCGAAGCUUACAGGAACCAGUAGGUAUCAACACGCGUUUCAAAGUUUGUUUCAGUUCUGUCUCAUUGAUUCAUUAACGCUAACGUGAUUAAUUAUUGAAACCAGCAUAUGAAUAUAUAUCUUACUAAAGCUAAUUCUCCUACACCAACAAAAAUAUAGUUAAUGUUAAGAGAAAAUUGAAAAGUAAAAGACCUGAAUGAAGAUGAGGGAAGAACAGCUACGGAAGAAGCGAGGACGAUGGCCAUAUACCAAUAAUUGAAGAGAAAGAUGUCUUUGAUGCUUUAAUCUCUUCCGGAUUGGCCUCUCCAAACAGGUCAGCUGCGAAGGUCGUGACGCAUGGUUUAUGCCCUCCUUCUCCAACCGCCAUCACAUACAAUACCAUCACCGACUAGUCCUAGUUUCAGUUUGAGAUCUUGAAAAAUGAGUCAAGGUUUAUGCUUGGUAACGAUAUAUAGACCAAGAGAUAGAUGAAAGAAGUCAAGAGAACGGUUUUGAAGCGGCCUAGGAUAGAGUCGGCUAGAAACGUCCCGAGAAUGGGGAACAUGCAAGAAACACCGAUCCAUGUGUUGAUGUGUUUUGGCUGCGGUGGUCGUGGACUGGCCAAGCUCGUUUGAUAGAAACGUUAUUAGGUUGCUUGCACGACCGUAGAACGCAAAUGUCUCGGCCAUCUCCACAACUGCAAAGAUUAAUGAAUUAAUCACAUACAUGUAGAGUAUCAACUUCUCUAAAGACUCGACAGAAAUUACUUAGGUACAUUGAAAUGAUCGUUCGAAAUUUGAAAGAAAAUGUAUCCAAAUCAGUGAGAGUGUUACCGAUAUGAUGAAAACGGCAGCGUGCCAGCCUCCUUUUGCUAAUUGAAGCGAGGCAGAGGCUCGUUUGCCACUGAACCGGAAAUUGUAAUCACGCCUGCCAUUUUGGAGUCUGCAUGCCACCUCUCAAUAGGAUAAUACAUUUUUACCCUUAAUGAAUUGAAUAUCCUUUAAUUGAAUUAAUUUUAAAAAGGGAAAAAGAAAAAUUGAAAUCGAGAAAUGAAUUCUCGAUCCAAUCUCGAAGAGCAUCUGUGUCAUCUCUCCCCCGACAUUGUUGAAGCUUCUCCCCGGAGCUGAGAGCUCGAGAAAGUGACUGACAUUUCUGGCGCAACAGCUUUACUUUUCUCCGCCAUUGUUACUUUUCAGCUCGUCUACUCCCGAAACGCUCCUCCUCUGUUUUGGUUGAGUCAUCCAUUUCGCCGGCUGUCGCCACCUCCGUCGCAGCGUCUUCUUUCUUCCCCUCCAUUCUUGGAUCUCGAUUGAAGCAAGUAAGUUCUUAGAAGUGUAGGUAUUUGCAAUGGUAGAGUUUGGCAAUGGUAGAUGUAGAAAUCUCUAGAUAGUAGGAUUUAUGAGUUCAAUCGUGUUGAAUCUGAGGGAAAUUAGAAUGUAGCUCCUCCUUUGUAUCGUUUGUUGCAGAAGGUAAUGGUACAACUGAAAUUGAAUAAUACAACUGGUACAUAUAUGAUAGUGUAGUUCGACUGGUACAAUUGGUAUAACUGUUACAAGUGCUGUAUCGAAAUUAGUGAUUUAUUUUGUUCUAUCUGCAGUGUGAUGAAGAAGAAGAUCCACACAAACAUAUAUUUUGACUAUGGAGGGUACUAUUCAGAAGAGCAUGAGUGGAAUUGCAACAAUUCACUAUAUGCUAUAAUGUUUAAGACAACAUCUUUGGAGAGAAUAACAUAUCCGGUGUUAGUAGAUAAGAUCUGUAAGAAGAUUGCUAUAGACGGAGAGAGAAGGAAGAUGAAAUUGAGUUACAUGAUAUGUAAAUGAGGGAGAGAGUCUUAUAUUUUAGAUGAUGAGAAUGUUUGUAUAUUCUUAACAUCAUUGGAUAAAGAGGGAUUUAGACCAGUUUUGCAUGUGGAGUUAUGCAAUCUUGAAAGUAAUCAGAUGGUGGAGCUAGUACCAAGAGUAGAGAGAAGAAGUUCAUGCGGUUUAUAUUAUGGGGAAGUGGUUGCCAAUGAUGUAAGGGCUGAUGAUGUAAAGACUGAUGAUGUAAAUAAUCAAGCAAACUUGAGUACUUUUAGAUGGGGUGAAGGAUCAGAACAAGAGAAAGAGCCUGCUAUAGUUAAUGAACCGAUUAUUGAACAGCUCAUGAUAGAGAAUGGUGUAAAUGAAGAUUGUGAGAAUGAUGUUAGGCAUGAAUAUGUUGAGCUUUCACGACCUUUACAACCAAGUGAGGAAACAGUUAAAGAAUGGGAAGAUGGUUUGGUUUUGGAAAAAGAUCAAGAAUUUCCUUCUAAGGAGGCAGUAUGGGAUUUGGUUAAUAGAGCUGCAAAGGCCGAGUUGUUUGGUGUGAGAUAUGUGAAGUCGGACCCGGUGCAACUUAUGAUUGAAUGCAGUCAAGCUUUCAUGGGUUGUGAAUGGUAUUUAAGAGUUGCUAGAAUAAAGAAAUCUGAUUUUUGGAGUGUAAGAGUUCACAAAAACAUGCAUACAUGCUCUAGGUGUGAGGAGAGUACUAGAUAUUUUAAACAAAAAGGCACACCACGAUUAGUAGCAAGUGUUUUGCAUGGCGACUUCCGUGGUCAAUUGAAAACACCGGAUCCUAAAACCAUCAUGACUCUUGUUAAAGGAAGACUUGGUUUGGAUUGUUCCUACUCCACCGCCUUGAGAGGGAAAAAACAACAUGUUAGUGAUAUGCGUGGGAACCCUGAAGUUUGCUACACAAUGUUGUAUGCUUAUCUCCACAUGUUGAGAGAGGUGAAUCCUGGGACAGUAACGGAAGUGGAAUUGGAUGCAGAAGAGAGGUUCAAGUACUUAUUUAUCGCUUUAGGAGCAAGCAUUGAAGGUUUUAAGGUAAUGAAGAAAGUGUUAGUGAUUGAUGCAACUUUUCUAAAAACUGUAUAUGGUGGGAUGUUAGUUAUUGCAACAGCUCAGGAUCCUAAUCGUCACCAUUACCCCAUUGCGUUUGGUGUAAUUGAUAGUGAGAAUCAUGCUAGUUGGAAUUGGUUUUUUGGAAUGUUGAGAAAGGUAGUACCAGAUGAAGAUGGUUUAGUUUUCAUAAGCGACAGACAUCAAAGCAUCAUCAAGGGAGUGAUGGAUGUGUUUCCAAACGCAUCACAUGGUCAUUGUAUAUGACAUUUGUCCCAAAACCUUAGGCCAAAUUUGACUGGGGACAAGGACAUAGGUGUUGAAAAAUUCAAGGAAUGCGCUCAUGUAUAUACUAAGACCGAGUUCAACAUUCAGUAUGGUGAUUUUAGGAGAAGGUAUCCUAGAGCUGCUGAAUAUCUGGAUAAUUCUAUUGGGGUUGAAAAAUGGGCUAGGAGUCAUGCUGAGGGAGACAAGUACAACAUAGAUACUAGCAACUCCGCAGAGUCAAUGAAUGUUGUGUUUAAGGAAGUACCAUCUAUUACCGAUGAUUGAUGCGAUAUUGGAGAAGUUUUCCGAAUGGUUCAACAAACAUCGAAAAGAUUCUGCCAAUGCAUCGAACACAACGCAGGUGGUGCAUGAUGUGGAGAAUAUAUUAGAUAUCCGAUGUCCUAUAGCUGCGAAGUUGAUGGUCACUGAGCUUAACAGCUACCGACGCGAAUAUAGCGUAAUUGGAGUUGAUGGUUUAACAUAUUUGGUGGACUUGGAUAUGAAAUCUUGUACUUGUAGGUGUUUUGAUAUAGACAAGGACCCUUGCAUCCAUGGUAUAGCCGCAGCCAUUAAGCAUUGUCGGAAUGAAUGGAGAACAACGGAAGUAAGCGUAUAUGGUCUUUGUUUGACAUAUUACUUGAUCGAGACGUGGGCAUUGGCAUAUUACAAAACGAUUUACGUUGUGCCGCAUGAGUCUCAAUGGACUUUCCCAGCUGACUACGAGGAGAAGAUCACAAAACCGCCGGAUUACAAACCAAGAAAGGUAGAAAUCAAGAAACCCGGUUUCCAUCCACCGGGGAAAAGCGACGAAAGAGGACCCAAAACAAGGCACGGCCUGGCAUUAACUUGGAGAGUUGGUUGCAGCCCCCUCCCAAUGAUGAGAAUGGUUAACUUGAGUUUCUAUGUUUUACUUGUAUUUCUCGCAUGUGCAUUAACAAUUCAGCUAGUUCAACUGGGUUCAGCUAAGAACAUGUCUGUGUCUCAUUUGUGCAUUAACAAUUCAGCUGGUUCAACUGAGUUCAGCUAAGAAUAUGUAUGUUUGUUUUAAGUUGUAUUUGUAUUCGUUUAUAUACUGAGUUCAGCUAUUACAAGUAAGUUUCAAUAUGUUCCAUAAGUUUUGCAUUAACUAUUGAACUGGUUCAACUUGUACAACUUGUACAGCUACGAUAGUAUUAUAAAACAACAAUUUUUAUAAAAAUAAUGAAAUAAAAGAAUAAUUAUAUUAUAUAAUCAUAAUAUAAUUAACUUUUAAAGAAAAUUUAAACAUUUGAAUACAACUUUUACAAAAAUCUAAGGAAAAUGAUGUUCUCACACAAACAACCCCUUCUAGUAUAAGGGAUACUUACUAUAAGAUAACCUAAAUCAUAGUGAAAGAUGUGAAAACAAUUAUUUGGUAAGUAUAAUAUUAUGUAAACCUUGGAUAUGCCAAAUAAUUCAGAGAAAUCAGUUAUCCAACUUAUAUUUAAUUAUUUAAAUACUAGUCCAAUUGCAAACAAGAAAAAGUGUUAAAAGUCCAACUAUGUUGCUCGUAGUACAACUGGACAACUAUGAGUAUAUUCAGCCAUCAUGGGUCCCACUAUUAAAUAAGUACAGCCGCCAAACUCAUUUUUUAUUAAAAGAAUUUUUGUUUUUAAAUAUUUUUUAAAAAAGAAAAGGAAGAUAGAUCUAGGGUUUUCGAAGUCUUCUCUUACCUUAAAUAUCUUCUCUCUCUUACUUUAACUCUCGAGCCUCUCUCUCUCUUUCAUUUGCGAAGAAAACCCAGAGCUUUUUUUUUCUAAAAUUUCCGGCGGCGAGAGCGUACAUUCCGGCGAACAACUGCUUUCUAACAAGGUUGGUGGUUAAUUGAUUUCUAAUUUCUAGAUCUAGGGUUUUCUUAUUUGAUUUCUAAAUCAUAGAUCUAGGGUUUUCUUAAUUGAUUUCUAAUUCCUAGAUCUAGGGUUUUCUUAUUUGAUUUCUAAAUCAUAGAUCUAGGGUUUUCUUAUUUGAUUUCUAAUUCCUAGUCCGUUUUUUUAUUUGUAAUUCAUAGAUAUAGGGUUAGUCGAUUCGGAUUCAUAAAUUUCAGAUUCAUCUUGAUUUUCUGCAGUGACAAUGCCGAUCUGCUAUACUCAAAGUUCAGAAUCGGAACCGAGUGAGGAUAUGAGUUGGGCAAGAGCUGACGGUAAUUGGGGUAUUCCGAGAUAGUGUUUCUAUGGAACCUACGUUAAGCUUGUUGUGUGUACCACUGGCAAUAAUCAAGGAAAAAAGAAAUACAAAUGUCCAAAUUAUGAGGUAUGAUGAAUUUUUUGUAAUUAUUGUUGAUGAUGAAUUCGUUUUUCUUAUGAUUGAUGAUUGAUGCUUAUGCUUAGGAUGGUGGAGAACACCUUCAAAAGUGGUGGGAUGAUGCGGUUAAUGAGAAGUUUAGUGUUGUGCAUAACAAAUUUGAAACCCAGAAAGAAAAUCCACCACGCUUACCAAAAUCCAAUGUUGGAGUCACUUCGCGAGUCUGUUCGAAUUAUGCGUGCUCAACUCGAUGAUCUUGAGAAGCGUUUGGAGGAGAAAGAAACGGAGAUUAGCAAGCUGAGGGAUUUGCUAGCUAAGUGGUAGUUGUUGUAUGAUUAUGUAUUUCUCUUAAUAUUGGUAGACUUCUAAAGUUUCUCAUUUCCCUAUGUAGACUAAUUAACUAAAAUUGCCUAAACGUUUCAAAAAUUGUAUGUUUUAUUCUAUUGAUUUGGUCUAUGUUUUCACCAAAUUCACAAACAGCUGUACCGUGAAUACCAGACAGUUGUACCGUGAAUACCAGGUAGUUGUACCAGGCAGUUGUACCAUUUAUACCAGGCAGUUGUACCAUGUAUACCAGACAGUUGUACCAGGAAUACCUAGGAAGUUGUACCAUGUAUACCAGGUAGUUGUACCAGGCAGUUGUACCACGUAUACCAGGCAGUGUACCAUGUAUACCAGACAGUUGUACCAGGAAUACCUAAGAAGUUGUACCAUGUAUACCAGGCAGUUGUACCGUGAAUACCAGGCAGUUGUACCAUGUAUACCAGACAGUUGUACCAUGAAUACCUAGUUGUACCAUACACACUUGUACCUAAUACUUUGUACUAUCACUUAAAUAGUUUCAAAUUACCAAAAUAUAAUAUUAAGUAUUUAACAAAAUAAUCCUAAUAGUACCAAACACAAACUUGUUCAAAAAACAAAAUAAUGUUAAGGUUUUUCCCACCAGACAACAACACCAGACAAUCAUUACUUCUUUCUCCUUCUCUUCGGCUGCACUUCCACAAAUGGUGUCUUAAUAUGUUGGGAAGCUGCCCUUGUUCGCUUCUGUCCGGUUGCUAUUACAGGUCCACCCUCUUGCUGCUUCUUCUUCUUUGUCUUCUUGCCCUUCUUCUUCUCUUUUCCUUUCAUCUCUUCCUCAUUCUUUUUCUCAUCCUCAUUCUUUUCCUCCUCCUCAUCACCUUCAUACAAUGUACAAAGAAAACAGUUUAUUAGUCCACUUUAAAAGUUCAAUAAAUAACCAAGAAACUUCUACACUCACCUUGUUCCGGAACAGUUGGAGAAAUGAGAUUAUACAAAACUAAUUCCAUGGUUUGACUCGGCUGCCCACCCUCAAAAUCAGUUCUUGUCCUAUAUUAUGUUUCCAGAGGCGACCCAUAUGGCGGAAACACCGGACUAUGAUAUCCCUGAGCUGCCACAGACACUUCAAGAGUCUUCACUCUAAUCUCCAUGUCCCUAAACUUCUCCUCAAUGGCAUGAAAGCCAUUGUUCACCACCUCUGUUAGUGAGGCAAGAGAUGCAACAACUUUAGCAAUAUCAGAACUCUCUUUCUCAGGGACUUCUUGCUCAGGGGGUUCUUGCUCAGGGUCUUCAUUCUCAAGAAACUUAUUACCAAUCUCUCGGGACGCCUGGUCCAGCUGGUACAUUCCUUCCCACCAUAUCUUUUUCUUCUUUUCUACUAGACGCUCUCUCCAACUGUCAACAAUGAUAUCAAUCUGCCCUAGGCCAUCAUCAACAUUAUCUUCAAUGAUUCCAGCCAACAGAGAUUUCUCAUAUUGGUCUGGUACCAAGAUGCUCUCAAUAUCCUGUGAAUACACAUACAUACAUUUAACUUAAACUCUUUAUCAAAUACAUGACACAAACCAAAUAAUCAAAUGAAGACAGAAACUCUAACCUUGCUAGUCCCAAGCUCUUGAUAUAUUUCUUCCAAAGGGAUACCUUUCAUGGCAGAUUCUUUAAACUUGUGCUUGCACAUCCUUGGACAGUCAUUUGCUGCACGUACAAGUACUCUAUAUUUCAGUCCAAGAUGUGGAAUAGACUCAUAAGCCAGAAUCUACAAAAAAACACACAGUUAAUAUCAUAAAACCAUAUAUACAACUUCAAAUACUCAGACAUCAAAAACAAAGGAUUACCUCCAGAGGUACAAUGAAUCCACUAAAGCUAGGUUGAGCUUUAGGUUUGACAGACCCAUUCAAAUUCUUCAUCAUAUUCCUGAUCCCUUUCAUACAUUCUGAGAAUGAAUACCUGUCCCAUGGAUAUGUCUCACAUGCAUCCAAAUCAUCAACAAUCCUUAAGAGAAAUGAUUCUAUGUUUCCAUCACUUUUUGAGCUUGCUUUUAGUACCUUGCAUAGGAAAUACAAGAGUACUAACUUCUUCUUAUCAGCUCCUUUCCAACUCUUCUUCUCCUUCAACUUAACUAAUAUAUCAGAUGUCUUUAUCUUCUCAGUCCUUUUGAAGAUUCUCUUCACAAACUUCAAAUUCCCCAUUUCCUCAUGCUUCUCCGGGUAUUCCUAGCAAUUAAACCCAGUUAGCAACGCAUGCUCUUUGAUGGAGUACCUAAUAGGUACUCUAUUAACCACAAACCAGCACUCCCUCUCAAGAUCUGUGUCAACUGUGCGCAGCAUAAGCAUCCACAUGCCUUGAGUCAUGUGGUUUGGCUCCCUAGGCAUGUGGAAUACAUGCUUGAACUGAGAGUGACUUGUAAUCCAUAUUGCCUCGUCUUUAAACUCUCUCUCUAUCAAAUUCAAUGUCUCAGUCACAUUACACCUAGUUCCUAUUUUACACCCUUUGGUGUAUUCUGAACUAUCUAAGCACAUAUUCUCUGGCGGCAGUGGCUGGGAAUCAUCUUCAUCAUCAUCAUUACCAGAAUCAUCAUCAGCUGUUAUAACAGAAAUGUCCUUACUAGCUUCAGCAGCCUCCUCCUCUAUACCAUCUUUAGCAGCAGCCUCCUCCUCUAUACCAACAUCCUCUUCAGCCUCUAUACCAUCUUUACCAGUACCAACAUCACCAUGCUCAUCCUCUUCACCAGCAGCAUCAUCCUCUUCCUCAUAUGUAUCCUGCAUAUUCAAAACCCAAUCGCUAAGUUUAAGUUGUUAAACUACUUAUAUCAAAACACACAAUUCAAACAAAUAUAUAAUCGGGAGAGGUUGAACUAGUUAUAUCAAGACACAUAAAUUCAAACCUAUAUAUUCUCCGAUUCAAUUAUACCAAGAACCAGCAUGAAAAGUAUAUAUACUUAUAUUCAAAGACAACCUAAUUCACUAGUUGAACUAGUUGUACCUUGAAUACCAUUAUACCUGAGCAGUAACGGUCUCUUCCUCUUCCUCUGAUGCAUCAACGAGUUCCUUCUCUGCAGCCUCUACUGCUUCAGUACUCGGUUCUAUCGGACUCUCUUUUCCAAGUUGAAUAUCGGAAUCAUCAACUGCUACUUGUCCUUCAGCAUCAUCCCUUUCCAACUCGACGGUUUUGUUUCCAGGUUGACUCUCGGAAGCAUCAACUGCUGCUUCCUCUGUCGGAUCAGUUUGCAUCCCGACGGUUUCACUUCCAGGUUCAGCAUCUUCUGGUUCUCUUGGAUCUCCGGUUUCUUCUGUAGGGUCGACCACGGUACUUGAAUCUACUGGUUCUAUCGGAUGCGCCGCCGUAGAUUCAUAUUCACCUAAGGCGUCUUUAACACGAGCCAUACCAAAAUUCCCCAGAAUUUCAACGGCGGUGCAAAAUGUCGACUGCGACAGAGAUAAACGAGAAGAAAUCGAAGAAAUUGGAGAGAAAUUGGAGAAGAAUAUGUUAAAUCGGAAAAGUUAGGGUUUUUCUCUUUUUUCGGAGAAGAAGAGUCGGGAAUGAGAGAAAAGGAAAACGAAACAGUUACCGUUUCGUUUUUUUGUUUUGUCUUAUCUCUCUGUUGGGCUUGGUGGGAUGGGCUUUCGAUCGCAAUAAUCAGUUUCAAAAAUUGGGCUUGGAUCAAAUAUAUAGAAACGGGUCUAACGUUGGAUAUUGACUUGGUUUUUUGGUCUUUUCAUAAUACUCGAUUUAAAUCUCUUUACAUUUAAUUCGUAUAAUAAAAAUAAAAUAGAAGAGUGGCAUUCCAGCCUAUUUAUCCCCAGAAAGUGCCUUUCCAGCCAUUGUUUCAAUUGAAGCACCGAGAGAUUAUAGUGAGUGAAUCUAGACGUUUAAUAUAAUAUAUAUAUCUGAAAUUUGAUUCUGAUCUAUAGGUAGGUUUUUCUAUUUCAUCUGUUUGUUUAAUAUAGGUUUCCAACGAUUUAGCUUUAGUUUAUAAGUUUUUCUUUAUAAAAUGCAUGAUGAUGGUGGCUAGGUGUGAUCCUUUUCAAUUAAUAAUAUUUAGAAAUUUUCUAUUACUUAUGUAAUCGCAAAAAAUAUAUAUCAAGCAUGAGGAAAUAUACAACAAACAAAGAUUGUCAGUAAAAUUGUUGAUGUUGAGAUUAUGAGACUAUGACUAAAGUAAUCUAAACGGUGUAAGCAAAUGAAGAAAAGACUUUCUUAACCAAACAAACAAUUAAACAAAAAAAAUGAAGGGAAGACUUUCUUAACAAAAUUAUUUUUAAAAAAUGCAGGAAAGGAACAUAAGGAAGCCACCAUCAUAUCUUGAAUGAACCUAGGCAUAUAUACCAAGCUUUUUUUACUUACGAGAGUGAGUUGAAAGAUGUAGGGGACAAUAAUAAGCCAAAUUUUGGAAAAGAUCUCUUGUAGCAUGAUCAGCUAGGAAAUAAAUGCUUUUAACUCUAAGGUUUGUGAUCUUAAUUGAGCCCACAAAUAUUUCAGUCAAACGUCACACAUAUAAAGCACAUAUAUAUGAGCAGUUUGAACUUAAGAGAUACAAAGUUUUCAUACCCGUGCCAUAUAUUUUUCUCCACGAAAAUCUCUUUAGUAAAACGCUGCUCAAGAUAAUAGACGUUCCUUCUCACCUUCCUAAAGUCAAUAUUCCAAUAGAGAACAGGGAAGUCGACAGUCGUGACCAUCUCUUUCUGGAUGGUCAAAAAGCCUUCACACCACAAUGUCAUCAAAUCAUCUUGAAGAUCUUUUCCAAUCCCCAUUGCAGACUUGAUCUCAUAAUCCUGAAGAAAUGUUUGUUCCUUUGAUAAAAAUCUGAAAAUCUUGCAUGACUCAUCCCCAAGUUUAUCAGUGAUUACCGCUUCCAUCUUAUCCUUUUGAGCUAGAGUGAUGAUUUUGUCAAAAUCUAGGUUGCCUCUCUUAUUUUCUUCCAUGAAUUUUUGUCUCAAGCACUUGAUGAAUUCUGCAUAAUUAACACGAUAAAACUCCUGAUCUAAUUUGCUGAAAUCAGAAGAAAACCCGAUUAGAUCUGUAGGAGUUGUUUCUCUGAGAACCGCUUGCUCCACAAACUCAGGAGAUUCUUUAAUAAUUUUCGUGGUGAGUACAUGAGUGUAAAUGGUAACAUAAAAAAAAUAUUCAGCCAGAUUCAGCCAGAUUCAGCAAUUCCGCAGUUACCAUUUGCAUUAAACUAAAUUCAGCCAGAUUCAACAGUUUUUCCAACAUCAACAGAUACAUAGUAUGUUCAUUUCAGAUAAAAAUUUGGAUUGUAGCGAUUCACAACUCGAAUUAAAAUAUUUUUGGCUAUUAAAAAUUACACAUCAAAUUUAUAUUUUAAAAUAAGUUAGAUCAUACAAAUACGAUAUAUGAAUAAUUCAUACACAUAAAAUCAUUACCAGAAUAGACAAGAGACAUAUUUAUGUUCAGAUAUCUAUAGAUAAUUUUAGAUAAUUUAAUAAAUUUUAGAUACUUAAAUAUAAUUUUCCAAUUUUUUGCAAAAAUAACUCAUACUUAUGCUAAAAUAAUAUUUAAAAUAUCAAAUUAAAAAAAAUUGUUAAUCAUCCUAAUCAUAUUAAGGCUUUAAACUACUAGAGAACAAUGAAAAAUCAAUAAGAUAAUCUAUACUAUAUUAUCAUGUUUAUUUUUAAAUUAAUUUUUCAAUAAAACUUUGACAAAGCUUUCUAUUAAUUAAUUAUAUCUUUUUAAUAGUUCAAAAAUUAGAUUUGGAAGAACAACUCAAUUUUGCUAAAAAGGUAUUAAUUCUAGUAUUUAUUUAUUGGUAUAAGAGUUAAUUAGACUAUUAGAUAAUUUUAUCUAUUUUAUUUAGAUAUUUUUCUUUAGUUAUUCUAUUAAUAUUCGUAAUUAUUUGACGAUAUUUCAGUUAAAGUCUUAAUUAUUUCGACAGAUUCCGCUGAAAAGCACAAAAAAAUUCAGUUAGAUUCAGCGGUUACCAUUUGAAAAUGUAAAAAUUCAGCCAGAUUCAGCUAAAAAUCACUAAACAUUCAGCCAGAUUCAGCAAUUCAGCCGGAUUCAGCCAGAUUCCUCGGUUACCAUUUAGAAGGGACACGCUCAACAAAAUAUGCGGAAAGCAAUUUCAUUAUAGACGAUUUGAUGGUUGACGUGGCAUCUUUGGAAUCUGGUUUUGUUAAAAAAAAAACAAUACAAAACAGAUUAGCUAUCCAUUGUUACUAAUGUGAACAAAACGAGAGACACAAGGUAUAUAAGAUAUGAGGACUCACUAAAGUUCUUUUUCCCUAAAAUAAUGUAAUUGAAGAACUUUAUUUAUAAAAUACGUACUUUAUAACAAAUACUACACCCUAAGAACAAGUAGAAACCGACUAAACCCAAACAUAACGGAUAAAAUACAUAUUAAAUUGUAUUUUCAUCACCUUGAAAAUGGCAAAUCCACAUAUGCCACUCCAAAAAAUUGCAAAAUCAUAAUUGAUUAUUUUUGUAAAACUCCAUUAAAGUUUGUUUUUAAUUAAAAUAUAUUAUAAUAAUCAGAGAAGAUAAUGACGACCAAAAAUCACUGGAUUAAUUAAGAAAAAGACUAGACAUGACAUAAAACACUUAAGAAGUUGUGAUGGUUAAAACAGUUGUACAAAAAUGAUAGAAAAAACACUUUAGAAGUUGUGGUAGUUAAAAAAGUUGUACAAAAGUUGAACUACAUAAAUUUUACAAGUAUAAAUAUGUAAAUUCUUCUUGAUAUUGUGCAGUUACAACAUAUAUUCAAGAAUCUAAAUAGUGAGGCAAUUAGAAUUUACCAAAAUACAAGUUGUCUCAUUUGAUAUAGUUAUGUAGGAUUUGCAUUAAUGAAAAUCUUUAGUCACAAUUUUGAGAAAUGUGACUUUAUCUAACCUCAUGAGUGGCAUUAUGUUUGAUAUUUGAUGAGUGGCAUCGUGGUAUGUAGUGAUUUCUCAUAAAGGAAGAGUGGGGUUAAUAAUUUUACUUUAAAACAGUGGUACGAUACCGUUUUCAAGCUGAACUUAUAAUCUCCGGAUAGUCUAGCUUAUGACCAAUUUUCAUUGAGAUUUUUCUCUCCAUGCCAGUACAAUAUUUUCAUGCCUUUAACUUUUCUUGAGUUAAAAACGCAACUUGCAAAUGCUUAUACUUUUUGCCACAAAUGUAUUAUGGCACUUUUAAUGCUUCAGAGCUUCAGGAUUAAUGGAGGUGGAUCAACGGAGGAGAGAUUUUUCAUCGAAUUUCCAGUAUAAGGUACAUUGGAGAAAGGAGACUUGACUAAUAUCUUGAAACAUAGGAACUAGCAUGUAACCCGCCUUAUUGAAAUGACCACACAUAUCUAAGAAUGUCAAGCUCUCUUAUCAAUUUCGGAAAUUCCUUUACGUGGAUUGAUAUUAGAGAGUGUUGGUGUCGGAUUCCGAACUCCCAGUUCGAUCUCACUCGAAGAUUGAUAUUGGACACUAAAUCAACCUAAUAAAAGUCAACAGAUGAAUUCUCGAGCUGAGACAUCAGACUAACGUUGAACGAACCAAAGAGCUCGGAGAUUCCAAGUAAAGUGAAUGAAGAGCUCGGAUAUUUUAAACCCGGUGAAGAAAGAGUUAUGAGUUGGGACUUGGGAGGUAGGCCGAGUACCCGUAGGCCCAACAAAGACUAUAAAUGGUUCAAACAAAACGUUACACAUUGAUGAUAAAAUAAAAAAAGACACAUUUAAUGAGAAUUAUUACAUUAAUUAGGUAAUUAAUGUAUAUCAUCGUGUAUAAAUAUAUAGUCUCAUAGACCAAAGGGAAACAUCGAAAUCUUGCGACAUUAUCAAUACCAUACUAGUUUCUCUUUAUACUUUGCAUACAUUAUCAUACUAUAUAUUUUCUGUACGUAUUUUUCUUGUACUCUUGAUCUUGAGAUUUUAACCCACGAAUAAUAUACAAAUACUUAAGUGUGCGAAUCCGACAUCCAUAUUUUGGCGUUGUCUAUGCGAACGCUAAGUUCUCAAGCCGUUCAGAAGUUUCAAGGCACGAACAAGUCAUCAUGGCCGAUCAAACAAUUGUCGAUCCCCUUAAAACGUUAACUUACUUGGUGACUACCAUGUCCGGGAAGUCCAAAAAUUUAGAGACUUUUGUAGCUGAUCUGCAAGCAGCCUAGGUAACUCUUUUUGAAAAUCAAAAUUUGUUUCUGCUCAUGUGGAAUCUUUGAGUGCAAGAACAAACCAGAGAGUCAAGCGAGGACUACUUAGUUAUCCUAAUUCGCGUGUCGGCAUAACUCUUGCAGCCAACGAGACACCAACAGCCAGAGACCAAGGAGGAGAACCAGAGUUCAUCCCCGACAAGAGAACCUAGAUGGGCUCGGAAAUGACGAUGUCCAAGAUGGGGAAGAGCUCGAGCGAGGUGGGAGUGACCAUAUCCCUUUUGCACCUUCAGCUGAUUACGAGAAAGUCCGCAUUGAGCUAAGAGAAAUAUAGUCAAAGUUCCAUGAGGCCACCAGUUCGGCUUCUGAUAUCGACAUGUUGAUCGAAGAAAUGAGGCGUACUCCAUUCACCUCGCAAAUCAAUUUGCCGACUUACGAUGAGAAAUGUGACCCGAAAAGCCAUUUAGCAGCUUUCCAUAUAGCAGCUGGCAGGGUUGACCUAGAAGAGCAUGAGGAGGCUGCGGGUUUAGUAAUAGUAAUUAAAAUUAAUUUAAACUUAAAUUAUUAGUAAUUAACCUCUUUUAUCAAAUAGGCUUCAUAAGGGUUUUAUUGGUUAGAAUAAUUGACUUUAUAAGCUAUUUAAUAUAAAUUGAAUAAUUCUGAAAUUAUUUGAUUUGAUUUUGAAUAAAUUUGUUUUCAAUAACGUAUGUUUCAAUAUCAUUGUUAAAUCAUUUUAGUGGAGAUUAUAUUUAUACUUUCAAUAUAAAUAAGUUAAUUUUAGUUCUUCUUAAUUUAAUUUAGUUUAUUGGAUUCUGUUUUUAAUAAGAUGUAUUAAUAAAUUCUAUGUAUAUAGUUUUUCACAAAAAUUGUUUUGGAGAGGUAUUUUUCUCUUUUCACUUCUUUUUUACUUGUAUAGACUUGGUUGUACAGCCCGUUCUCCUCAAUUUAGGAGUCUUCAAAGAUCUGAAGUAGUAGCUCUUCACAUUAGAAAGCCACAUAAAAAAUGAACUUCAUGUGGAGCGUUUUGAUGUGUGUUACAGCUUCAGUUGUAGUAGUGAUCAGCAAAUGGUGGUACCGAUGGUCAAAUCCCAAGUGCAAUGGCAAGUUUUCUUUUUAACAUAUGUGUCUUAGCACCUUUCAAGUUUGAUGAUUUAGUCUCCAAUUGACUAUAUUGCUGGUCUAAAAGGUAUCUACACUUGAAAUGUAUUUGCAAUUAUACACAUAAACUAAAUAAUUGAAAUGUACAUUGACUCAAUAUAUACAAGCCAAGUCGUUUCUAUUGGUGAAUAAUUGGAAUGCAACUAAACUUGAACAGAGUAAUUGAGAAAAUGUUAUUGUUGAGUAAUUGAAAUGCAUUUCAAUGGUGAUACUUAUCUGUUUUCUUCUUUGUUUAUAAGUGAUAUGAGAAUAUGAAUGAAACUAUUCGUUUGAAUUUUCAGGAGAAUUCAUUGGUCCUUGUUAUUUCUUUCUCAGGCGAAUAUGGAAUCGGUUAAGGUUUUUGAAAAUAUUGAUCCGCGAAGAAAGUCUGACCUCGCGAAGAUAGAAUCAAGCAAGUUUUAAUGAUUUGGAUCUUAUCAUCUUACCAUUUGGGAUGUGGCGACUUUGGAUCAAUGUUGUAUGUGUUUUGUACAAUAUAACCCUUAGUGUUACUUUGGCUCGAAUCAUGGAACGAAAUGACGGACAAAGUUCGUUGUUUAGAUCAUUGUGGAAGUCGAAACUAACACAAUCAAGAUUUAUCUAGGGUUUUAUUUUAGGGAUACAAUAAACGCGAAUUCUCAAAGAACAACAGAACGGAUCGAAACCAAAGAUGGUGUUCUUGAUAUUAUUAAGAAAAAGAUAGCUUUGAUUGUACAAGAGUCUGAUCGUAAAAGAAAAAGUGUUUUGCUUAAGAGCCUUGUGUAGUCUAAAUUCUAGAGCGAUAUUGCUUGCCCUGUUGUGAGAGCCUUGAGUCUCUUUAUAUAGCGAUGAUAAACCGCCUCUCCAGCGAUAUUCUCGGAAGAUUUCCAUUUAUCUUGAAGUCGGCUAGAAUAUCGCGGAUUAGGAUACUUUCCUUAUUCUUCGGGGUUUUUUGGAAGUUUUCUCGAUUUGAGUUGAUCCUUCGAGAUUCUCCCUUAUCAUUUCCGGGUAUAUCGGAAAUGAUGACGUCUUAUUCCAGAAGUGGUAUCGAAGGUGAAUAUUUCACCAAGUCCUUGCCUCGGGCAACCAAUGAUUUGACCCCGGGACAUCCAAACAACGGAUGGCUCGGAUGUCUUGGUGCCGGACUGGCUCGGGCAGCUAAGUUGCAGACGGGCUCGGGAAUCUGAGCGGUGAACUGGCUCGGGUACCCGUAUGGACGGGGCUCGGGUACUCGAACAAACCAGCAAAGUCGCGCCCGAACCGAUUAGUUCAAUACCCGGGCCGACGAGUCAUUAUUCCCGAGCUGAUGGAAAAUUGCUUCCGAGCCGGUUGAGGAGGAGUCCCGAGCCGAACGAUACGGAGUUCCGAGCUGAUCAAAGGGACGUCCCGAGCUGAUCAAAGGAACGUCCCAAGCCGAAUAACGUUUUAUCGAAGUUUGGCUCGGUCUUAGUAGGGGAUAAAAUCCGACCCCAACAAUCAUACAUUAGAAGAAGAGUUGCUAUAUCUUUUAUUAAUCUUAAAGAAUAAGAUGAAAAUGUUAAAAGAAACAAAAAGUGAAGAAGCAUCUGAUUCCAAAGAAUAGUUAUGUUAAUGUCGGAUGGCAAACCAAAAAUAUAUAUUAGAUUCUCACUAAACAGGUCAGGUUCUGAUCCUUCAUUUACAAGACAUCUGGUGUUUGAACCAAACUGGUCUAUUCACACAAAGCUUUUCUCCCAAACCAAACACCUGAGUUCUCAGCCAAUUUCUUGCAAACUUAAUCUCGUCCUUCCCAAGAAAUACAGAGUAAAAAUUGUAAAGUCUUGAGAACCAAACAACAAGAAGAUUUUGGAAGUCAAGGAUCUCUCGAUUCUUGAUGUUGUAUGUGUUUUGUACAAUAUAACCCUUAGUGUUACUUUGGCUCGAAUCAUGGAACGAAAUGACGGACAAAGUUCGUUGUUUAGAUCAUACAUUAGCACAUGCUAAAAAUGAAAAGCAGUGGCCAUAAAAAGAAGAAGAAUAGUUGCUAUAUCUUUAUUAAUCUUAUAGACUAAACAGAACAAAUUGAAAAUGUUAAAAGAAACAAAAAGUGAAGAAACAUCUGAUUCCAAAGAAUAUUUAUGUUAAUGUUGGGUGGCUAACCAGAAAUAUAUAUUAGAUGCUCACUAAACAAGUCAGGUUCUGAUCCUUCAUUUACAAGACAUUUGGUGUUUGAACCAAAGUCAGGUUCUGAUCCUUCAUUUACAAGACAUUUGGUGUUUAAACCAAACUGGGCUGUUCACACAAAGCUUUUCUCCCAAACCAAACACCUGAGUUCUCAGUUCAAUUCAUUUCUUGCAAACUUAAUCUCGUCCUUCCCAAGAAAUACAGAGUAAAAAAUUUAAGUCUUGAGAAACAAUCAAGAAGAAGAAGAAUUUGGAAGUCAAGGAUCUCCCGAUUCUUGAUGGAAGGAUCGAGGUUUACAUUAUCUAGGAAGUUUUUGGCCAUCAGCUUGUCAGUACUAGCCGUGCUCUCACCGCUCUACAUAGAUAGUUCAUCAGACGACGAUCAAGAACCUGAAGACGAACCCUUGAGCUUUUUCUUUACCCUCUCCUUGCUUCUGCUAUUCUUGAUCAUGGCCAUUGCCUUGUCUCUGUACUGUGACCAGAGCUUGACCAGGUUUGAUCCCUAUUGGAUUCACAGGCUUUGUGGCUCCUUUGGUGGCCUUCUUGCGAUCCUCAUCCUUCUCGCUUUUGUCUUGAAAUGUAAAAGCUUCUGCUUAGAACAUAACACAAAGACAGUAAAAAACUUCAGAUUUAUUAAUUAAAGAAGAUGGAAACAUUGUCAAGCAUCAAGCAUUCAGACCAAAAAUUAUAAAAAUUAAAUUAUAAUGUGGGGUACAGUUAUAAUUAUACCCUAUGUUGCAUGGAAACUCUCUUCGAGGUCCGUUUCCCGUUUUCGAAACGUUUCGGAAACGGAAACUCUUCGGAAACACCAAAAACGUCACGGAAACGCGUUUCCUAAAAAUUUAUGUUUGGAAACACGAUGGAAACUCACGUUUCUAAAUGGAAACGCGACAAAUCCUUUUUAUUGACUUUGGAAAUUUAAUAAAUAAAAGUUGAAAAGAUUAAGAUUUAUAAUACAUAUAACUAAUUUUAGAAAACUCUGAGUUUUAAGAUCUUUUUAUCGACAAACUAGAUUUGGAGGCAUCUUUAUAUGAUCUACGAUGAAACUAAUGAAAAUGAGAAUGAAAAUGUUGGUCUAAAUUAAAUAUUUGAACUUGAACCUUUUAAUCUUUUUUCUUUUAGAAGUUUAGUUAACCUAUUUAAAUUUGAUGUUUUGGACUUGUAUUGUUUAAUUAAACCAUUUUUUUAUAGUUUUAUGUUAAUGUUAUAUAUAUAUAUAUAUAUAUAUAUACAUAUAUUAUAUAUGUGUAUGCGUUUCCAAAACGUUUCCAAUCCCUAAUUUUAGAAAAAAAUCGUUUCCCGUUUCCGAAACGUUUCCCUUCCACGUUUCCGUUUCCGUUUCCAUGCAACAUAGAUUAUACCUUCUUCUUUUUUUUACUCCCUCCGUUUCACAAAGAGUGUCGUUUUAAGGUUUUAAUCUCGUUUCACAAAGAAUGUCGUUUUGUGUUUUCAAUGCAGUUUUAAAGACUAAUUCUCUUUUUUGUCCCUACUAUUUUAGCUUAUUAAUUAGAAAGAGGGUAUUAUUUAGUGUAUUAAUAAAGGGUAGAAAUGAAAUUUGUUUACUUUUCUUAAUUUGUGUGAAAAAUGCUAAAAUGACACUCUUUAUGAAACAGAUGGAGUAUUUAUUAUUAGCAACCAAAUUCAUUUCAAUUAUUUCCUCAUUAUGUAUCUUAACAUAUAAAAGUAUGUUUCAUUUUGAUUUCCUCUAUAAAAGUAUUCUUAAGAACAAAAACCAACAUAAAAAAGGAAGUAUAUAUGUCUGAUUUGAGUUUUUUUCGUUACUGAUUGAGUUUUUUUUGUUACUGAUUGAGUUUUUUUUUUUUAUAAAAAAAAUCAUAAAUCAUAACACAUUGUAAACCGUUCUGUUUUCGUUUUUUUUUGUUUGGUAGGGUCCGUUCUGUUUUCCUUAGUGAUUGAGGUUUUUUUUUUUUACAUUUAAUUAUAUGUAGUUUAUGAAAAAAAAACUUCAUUAUGUUGACUACAUAAUAAACAUUUGUUUAGAGAAUUUUUUGGUAAGAAAUCGUAACUGUCGGGGAUUGAGCACACGCUUUUGGCAGCACCUGCACUUCUAUAAUUUAAUUAUGUUGACUACAUUUGUAUUAUAAAUGACUUGUUAAUAAUUCAAACCCAUUUUGAAUAGGAAAAAAAAAAAAGAGAUAAAGUGUUGAAGCUCUAUAACAAAAAGAAAAAGUGUUAAUUUUCACACACAAAAGUGAUAUAUUCAAAAGUAAUAAUUUUCUUCUUAAUAUAAUUAAAGCUUGAGAUGUAACAUCAAUGUAAAAUUUCCAAAAUAAUUCCUCAAUAACAGAAAGAAAAUAAAUAAAAAAGGUCUAACAAAAAAUCGAUGUAAUUAAAUUUAGCAAAUAAUAUUAUGGAUGUUGCUACCCACCGCCGUCUGAAAACACCGCGGCGAAUCAACAACGGGAACACAAUUACCCAAAGACCCCUUUCUCUGCCUCGGGAGAUUCUUAUGAUACUUCCCCGGAGGCGGAAGAGAAUCAUCACCGGAGGAAGAAGAAGAGUCUCCUUCUCUUUGACGUAUCGCCAUCACGGCCACCGCUAAAACACUCUUGACCGGUUUCUUUGAGAUCCCACCACGACUACGUAUCCGGUGACUGAGAAGAUUCCUCCGCCGGCGACUAUAAGGAUUCUCCAGUUUCGUCAAAUCCUUCACCGGCAAAGAUGCUGUUUCCGAUAAGCUCGUGAACGACUUCGACUUCCCUUUGUAAAACUUCGAUAUCCCUCUCCUAAAAUGAAGUCAACAUUCAGACACUAAAACGUGUUCCAUGUUCAGACAUUAACCCUAGAGAACAAUCAGACAAAAACAAUUAUACUUACUUGAUGGGCAAGGCUUCUUCAAGAGACUCCAUCAUAUCAAGAGGACCUUUGUAAGCAGACUCAAUCUCAUUCUCUCCACCUUCAUCGUCCUCACUGUUCUUCCCGAUCGAAUCAAAAGUCGAAGACGUCGACGAUAAGCAAGCAAAUUCUUGAUCCGCCGUGAAAGUCCGAUCGCUCUUGUCAAUGACCCUAAACAUUUUUCACAGAAAUGGUGAAAAAUCUUUGUUAAUCCAUAGAGAAAUAGAAGAUAUGAGAUCUUAUAGAUUUGAGUUUCUGUUUCCGUUUCUAUGUGCUCUUCUUGUAUUCUCCAUAAAGGAAAAUAAAUAUAUAAAAAUCUUUAUUAUUAUUACAAAGAGAGAACAAGAUAAGAAUUGAAAUAUUUUAGCUCUUAUCCUAAGCCAACUCACUCCUUCCUUGAUAUAUGCAAUUAUGCAUUUAUCUAUCAUUUAAACAUUUUUGUUUUCCCAUCAAAUCUUAUGCCCAUUUACGGGAUGGGAUCUAUGAGGCCCACUAGAAACGUUUGUAUUUUUCUUAGAAAGUCCACCACAUUUCAAAUUUUGUGGCUCCACAAACCAGGGGUAAAUAAAAACAAUUAAAAAAGUAAAUAUUUUUUUUCGGAAAAAUAUCGAUAAAUAAUAACGAAAAAAUUAGAUAACGAAAACAAUGGUGGUAUCAUUUUCUGCACCACUAAUUUUUAUCGUUUUUGUGAUUGAUAAACAUAUAUCAAAGUGAUAUACUUCUUAUUACUGCUAUCUAGUAAUAUACUUCCCCAACCGAAUGGCCGGCCUUCUCAGUGUAUUUAGAAGAUUUACAAAGAGACAAACAGGAAUUUUCAAGCUUCUCUUUAUCUUUAAUCCCUCGAAGUGCAAAUGUAAAAGCGGAUAAUUUGGCGCGAAAAGUUCGCACCGAACCGCAUCACAUCACAUAUGUAAACAACGUUCCUCAGGAUUGGUUCUUUUGAAUUUUUAAUUAAAAGCUGUUGACAAAAAAAAAAAAAAAAAAAAAACCCAAAAAUAGAAUAGAAUUACUUAAAAGCGAUAAAAUAAAGUAGUAAGAGAUAACAUUAUCUGAAUUUUUUUCCUAGUAAUUUGAUCUCCGCUUGUUUAAUUGGUAUGCUAGCGGAGGAAAGAAUAGUUAGCUCAAUCGACCGCUGAUUUCCCGCUGUUGAGGCCAAGGUCAUCUGCACAACCUAAUUAAACCUCAAUCUCAGCAUUCCUCAUAAAAAAAAAUCCAGACGAAUGAUGAAAGUUUCAUCAUAAAACACAAAUGAAUAUGAAAAAAAUAAAAUGUGAAAGCAUGAAAAGAAAAAAAACACACCAACGUUUUUACGAGUUAGGCUAGAUCAGUAUGAAUUAGAUUAAUCCAACAAUAUCCACUAUAUGGAAACAUUAUUACAUGUAGCUCAUACAACAAGAACAGAGCUCAAGAAAAUAAUUAGAAUCAAUAGAUCAAAAUAAUCAGAGAAGAUACUCUUAUCUACUUUGUUUUCCUUUAAGAAGAUCUUUUGUGGUUAGUCUUUCUUCAGCCUUGUCUCUUAAACUAACCAAAAAUAGCUUUCCCCGUUAACACAUUGAGCUCACAGCCUAAUUGAACCUCUCGAUCUCAUCCUUACUCACAAAUCAAACUAUUUUUUUCUUUUUUGAUAAAACACAAAUAAAAGAAAUAACAACAUCAAGGAUAUAUAUAUUUUACAAGUUCGGCAAUCUAAAUAUCCAUCAUAUGAUAGUGUUACAAAAACAACUGAGCUCAAGAUUCAAAAGAUGAAGUUAAUCAAAGUAGAUACCAAAGCUAACUUAUAUUAUUAUAUUAUUAUACUAAAUAUAAAACUUAUGAAUAUUUAGAGACUUAUCAUAUGUUUUCCUUUUAGCAGACCUUUGCUUAUAGUCUUUCUUCAACCUCAUAACUCAAAUAAACCAAGCAACAGUCUAAACUUAAGUUCCCGCUGCACGAGUAUAAUGAACUUAAGUGGAGGAAGAUAAUUAAGAAUCAUGGAGGUGUUAGAAUGUAUAAAUUGAAAUUCUUAUCGAGUCUAGUUGCUGCCUCAUAUUCGAACUUCCAAUGUAUUCAGACUUCAGUGCUCAGCGUUUCUUCCCAUUUCAUGAGGUAAACAUGAAAUGUAUCUUUCCUAUUCACUCUAGGACUUGAUGUAACGUGAACUACGAGAAGUCCCGUAUUUCUGGUUAAUAUAUUGACCUCAAAGGACUAAGGCGAAUUGAAUCAUCACUAAACACCAGUCGUUUAUUGAGCAUGAUUCUCUGUAAAAUUGGGCGGGCCUACAUACGUUCAUUGAAUACUCAGAAAAUUUAUCAUGCACUACUCUGAAAUAACGGCAGAAACGUUUUUGGCCAAUAUAAUAAGAAUUUCUAUAUCAACUUUGUCCAUAGAGAUCUUAUGAUAUUUUUCACAAACAAGGUUUCAAUAAUUGGGUUGACCUUUGGGCUUUGGCCACGGAUGUUGUAGUUGUACUACCGUCUGAAAUUUAUUCAUGUCCUCUUAUUUUUCUUUAAAAUCUUUUUUUUUCCCAACGAUAGACUAAAUUACGUCUAACCAUCCGAAAAGGAACAAUGUAUGAUCUAAAUUAAUCGAAAAUUCUAAGAAUCCAAUCACCUUUAUUUAGGAUCUUACAAAUUAGAAAAAAAAAAAAAACAAGAACAAAAAUAAGACAGAAAAAACUAGUGACCGAUGGAUGUGAAUCUCUAAGUCAAGAUUAGUAAACCUAAACUUAACCUUCUAAGAAAAUUUCUAUUAUAAGUUUCCCCUAAUCGUUCCCGCCAUCUUAAAAAUAUAUAAAACCGGAGGAAGAAGUAGAAAAAAUAAAAACAAUAAAACAAUAAAAAAAAACAAGAAAAAACGAAAAGCAUGCAAUUGUUUUUCGUUUUUUGUUGAAACAAAAAACAAACAGAACUUCACAAAAAAAUACAGAGAAAAAAAAAGAUUCAGUUUCCUUUUCUUUGUUUCCACUUCUUAUAUAAGAGUUGGCAUUUUUAUUACAAACAUUACAUUUGAAAUUAUGGGUAAUUAUGGGGAUAAAGGAAGAGGAAAUGUUGUGAUUAGGGCCAUAUUGUUGGGUCUCUAUGGAAUCAUAAGCAUUGUUUGUGUCAAUGGUACUAACAUAAACUACAAAGAUGCUUUAACCAAAUCCCUCAUCUUCUUGGAGGCUCAAAGAUCAGGCAAACUCCCUCCUAACAAUAGGGUUCCAUGGAGAGGUGAUUCUGCUCUCGACGAUGGCAAACUCGUAAAUGUAAGUUUGGAUUAUAUUUUUACCUCGAACAAAUCAUGUAUAUACAGAAAUCAGAUUUAAGGUUACAAGAAAUAAUGAGAUAAUUAUUUAUGUAUAGGUGGAUUUGUCGGGAGGGUACUAUGACGCAGGAGACAAUGUAAAGUAUGGUCUUCCAAUGGCGUUUACGAUCACAACGCUUGCUUGGUCUACCAUUACCUAUGAGAAAGAACUCCGAGCCACGGGAGAGCUCGAAAACGCUCGUGCUGCUAUCCGUUGGGGUACAGAUUAUUUCCUCAAAUGUGCUUCUCGCAAGAACCGCCUCUAUGUUCAGGUUUCAAACGAAUAAUCAAAUUAGUAUUUUGCAAUUACAUCAUGCUAGAAAGAUGAACGUACAAUUUAAAAUGGUUGUGCCUAUGAAUAUGAUCAAAUAGGUUGGUGAUCCAAACGCGGACCACCAGUGCUGGGCGAGACCCGAGAACAUGAAGACGCCAAGGACGGUGUUGGAGAUAAGCGAUAAAGUUCCAGGAACCGAGAUCGCUGCGGAAGCCGCCGCUGCAUUCGCCGCUUCCUCCAUCGUUUUCCGCCAUGUUGACCACAAAUAUGCACGCCGGCUUCUCAACAAAGCCAAAUUGGUAUGCUUAUUAAUUUAUGCAUUUUUUUAUACAUAAAUACUUUAUUGUUUUAAACUCUUUUGUUAAUUUUUAAAAUAAAGACUAAUUUGUUGAUUUUGGUAGAAAAUAUGAUAUAUUUUUGUAGAGAAUUCCUUUAAUCAAUAAAAGAACUAAAGAUCUGAUCAAAAUCUCAAUUUCAGCUUUUCAAGCUAGCCAAAAGCCACAAGGGUACAUACGAUGGAGAAUGCCCGUUUUAUUGUUCUAACUCCGGUUACAAUGUAAAACUCAUCUCUAACUUCUAAAUCAUUUUUUCCUUCAAAUAUCGCUUUUUGUUGUCUUUGUUCAUGUUGUAAUUGAUAUUAAUUUUGACAAAUAAUGUGAAGGACGAGUUGAUAUGGGCGGCAACAUGGCUAUACAAGGCGACAAGGAAUGAUUUGUACCUUAGCUACCUCAAAUUCGAAGCCAUAAGCGCUUACGUCGCUGAAUUCAGCUGGGAUCUCAAAUACGCUGGUGCGCAGAUCCUCAUCACUAAGGUAUAUAUAACACAUAUCAAAAGUUAAUUAGAUUUUCUUUUUUUUCGAAACCUAUUUAUGUAUAAAAAUAUAUAUGUAAAUGCAGUUGAUCUUCGAAGGCGCAAAAGGACUUGAUCUAUACAAACAACAAGCAGAUAGUUUUGUAUGCUCUAAUCUUCCCGGAAGUCCUUACCACCAAGUUUUUACUACCCCAGGUCUUGCCUCCAUGCAUUAACAUAUAUACAUAUUUGUAAAACUUAAUAUAUACGGUAUGAUUAAUCAUAGUGUGAUCUUCUUGAUUAACAUAUUUAGGUGGUAUGAUUCACUUGAGGGAUGGAGCCAACAGUCAAUAUGUCACCGCCACCGCCUUCUUGUUCUCAACCUACGCUGAUAUACUACAGAAACACAACCAAAAGAUCUCUUGCGGUAGCCACCAAUUCGAUUCAACACACCUCAUGGCUUUCGCUAAAAAACAGGUAUUAUAUAUUUUUCCAUAAGAAUGCAAACCAAACAUACACAAAAUAUUUAUGUGUUUCCUUAUUUUUCACAUAUGAAUUAUGAAGUAAUAUAUAAUAUGUUAGAUAUAUAUACCUAAUGUGUUAUCAUUAUAUGCAUGUUACAGAUUGACUACAUACUAGGGCAUAACCCACAAGGAAGAUCGUACAUGGUUGGGUUCGGACCAAACCCACCAAAGCAAGCCCAUCACAGAGGAGCCUCAGUGCCCAUGCAUGAAGCCAACGCGCCGUUAAGUUGCCCAUUGAGCUUCGUGAAAUGGUACAACAAGAACGUACCUAACGCUAACGAGCUCACCGGAGCCAUCUUGGGAGGACCUGACCGUCAAGACAAGUUCCAGGAUCUCCGAUGGACUUCCGUGUACACAGAACCUUGCACUUACAUCAACUCUAUCGCCGUUGGUGUUCUCGCCAAGCUCGCUGCGGCUUAGAGCCUUUUGUACCACAUUCGAGACUACUUUGAUGAAAGUAUUCUUCUAGGGUUUCCCUUACCUACUAAAAUUGCAUACACCUGUGUGGCCAUGCAAUGUAAUUCUAUUUUUCAUUUUCUUUUGCCUUUGUAGGUAGCUUUUUGGAAUCAUGUUUUCUCCAAAAUAUAAAAUUGCAUGGGUAUAAUAAUAAGCCCUAAUGAUUUGAAACAAUAAUUAAGUGAAAUUAAUGAAUAGCCGGAAGGAUAAAACUCAUUCCGUUUCACGUAGAUUGUUGUUUUAAACUAGGGCUGGGCAUUCGGGUAUGCGGGUCGGGUUCGGGUAAAACCCAAUCGGGUACGGGUCUUUCGGGUAGAGGAGUUUAGGACCCAAUAGGGUAAAUCUAAAAUAUCGGUUCGGUUUCGGUUCGGGUCCAAUCGGGUUCGGGUUUAGAUUUUCAGAACCGCUAAAUACCUAAAAAAAUCGGGUACCCUUCGGGUUCGGGUAUUUUAUACCCGAUUAUACCCAAAUACCCAAAAAUUUACCCAAAUACCCGAAAAUUUUACCCUAAUAUCCAAAUUUUACCCGAAAUUUUACCCUAAUAUCCUAAUUUUACCCAACAUUUUAUCCGAAUAACCGGAAUUUUAUCCAAAUAUUCCAAAAAUUUACAAGUAUCUCGCAUAUAAAUAUAUUUAGUCUUAAAUAUUUAAAUAUAAGUAUAUUUAGUUUUUGGUCAUUAUUCUCGGAUAUUUGGAGAUAAAUGUAUUUAGCUUGAAUAUUAGAUAUAUAUAAAGUUUUUAUAUGUAUAAGUAUAUAUAAUUUCGGGUAAUCGGAUACUCGUUCGGGUAUCGGGUUCGGAUCGGGUUUUACCCUAUACCCACGGGUACGCCGUUACAAGACCCAAUAGGGUAAAUAGCUAAUACCCGUACCCGCCCCGAACCGGUUUUUUCGGGUCGGUUUCGGUUCGGGUACUCGGGUACGGUUUUUUUGCCCAGGCCUAUUUUAAACUCCAUUUUUUUGUUUUGUGUAGAAUGAUGUUUUUUUUUUUUGGUUAAUGUCUAUGUAGUAAUUUGCAUAACAUUUUCUAAUAUAUCUUUUAAAAAUAAUUAUUUUCAGUUCUAAUAUGUAUUAAAAUAAAUAAAUAAAUUAAAAUUUAUGAUUUUAAAAUACUAACAAAAAUACUAUUAUUAUUUUUUGUCAAAGGAACUUACUAAUCUGAAAUAUUUAUCACCUUUAUAUGAUGAAGAGAGCGAACAAUGAAUUAAAGAGUACAAUCACGUCUUAGAAGAUCAUGCGAGCAGAAACUUGUACUGCCGCCCGUGAGGAGUCGCUCCUUUUUGGUUGGUACGGUCAACUUGGCGCCACUCAAGCCGGCCUUGAUUCCUUGAAACCAUGAAACUGAAGCAGCCUAAUUUCGCUAGCUACAUAAAAUGAUUGGGAAAAAGGCAUAUUUAACAAUUUUUGUCGUACUCUUUUAUACAUAGAUUUUGAUACCGGGGUAGUAAUUUGAACAAUUUUUUUUUCUCAAAUAAACUAAAUGAAGUACAAAACUUUAGUUGAAAUCAAUGAAAUUUUAUGUUGGGUUCUCUCUCUCUUUUCCUUCACUAAACGAGGAUGCAAAGACUCAAGAGAAUGCUGCUGGGCCAAACUGGAUCAUUGGAAUUGACCCUGACUUGUCCGGAGCUUUGGCCUAGUUGAAAAAUGACAUGGGAUCUUGUUCUGCUUAGGUGAAUCUCUAAAAAUAAAAUUGUUUACCUCUUUCUUCUUAAACCCUAGACAUAUUUUUUCCUUCUUUCUUCGAGAACCAUGGUUCGUGACGUUACUUGAUAUUCCGUUGGUUACGUUAUUAGAUGAUAGAGAAAUUAUAUGAAAAUAUUUGAUGUUAUUAAUGUGUGUUAGAGAGAGGUACGUAUGUGUAAAUUACUAAAUUAUAUUUAUCUAUUUUUGAAGUUGGGUUGUUUUAGUGAAAUUUUAUUUUAUGUUGAUAAUGUCGUUCAUGUGAGUCAUGUUGGAAAGGUAAAGCGGAAUAUCUUUCUGGGAUGUAAAAUCAUACUUGUUUAACUAAAAAAUAUUUAAACCCUUUAUUCGGAUUUGUUUUGCAUAAAUUAAAUUAAUAAAUAUAAAAAAAAAUUAAAAACCCUAACACGUAACAAAUAAGAUUAUUUUAAACAUUAAAUAGUGACUCGUUUCGUUGCUUCAGAUAAUAUUUUCUAGAUCGAUCGAAUCUUAUAGGGCAAGGAGUGAUCAAACAAGAGAGCAGAGCAUAUUCUCAUAUGCCAAUUUUCUUACUCACAAUAGUGGAUUUCGUCGUAUCUGAAACGAUCUAGCUGCGCACAAUCAAGUUUCAUGUUGUUUAAUAUCGUGUUUUGUUCAGAAAAUUUCUGUUGAAGUAUAAGAACUAAACGAAACAGUGAAAGAGGAAAAAGAAGUAAGUUCUUAUUCUUUUCGUUUGAGUAAUAUUUAACUUUGGGAGACAUAAGUUCUUUUAGGCUCCAAUGAAUCUAUGAGACUAUGACGUAUGUACAAAAAAGUUUUUAGAUAAUGGUUUGCUUAGUUCUACGUUUGCGGUCCAUUAUUACAAACUUUUUAUGAACGUGAGUUGAUUACUUUUGUGCUUAAUUACUUUCCUUACUUCCAUGAUUCGUGUAGAGACUCUAAGGGCAAUGACUCUCUCCUCUAAGCUCAAAUCUUUCCGUUCUCGAUUUUUCUCCUCACAUGAUAAGGCCAAAGAGAAGGCUUUGAUGAAGCAAGAAUUGUUGAAUCCUCUCUCUUAUUCUUCACCAAACUACGACGAGGCGAUUCAAGAGAAUUUUAAGCCACACUGGAUCAUUGGGAUUGACCCUACCUUGUCCGGAGCUUUGGCUGUGCUGAAAUUCGACGACAAGGGAUCUUGUUCUGCUCAGGUGAAUCGCUACUAAUUUAUUUUCUACUAGAAUUAUGACCCGUGCGAGCACGGGUUGAAUACUUGAUUAAUAUUUUUGCUUAUUAGUUCUAAUAUUUUUCUUUAAGCUAUAAGGUUAGAGUGUAACUGUAAUAGAAACGAACAAUGGAGGAAAAGUCUUAUACCUCACAAAUGGUAAUGAAAUUACGUAAGAAAUCAUAACUGGUUUUUUUUAAUAUGGUAAGUGUCAGAACGUAAACGAUAGCUAUUAGCCUAGAUCACCUCUUAAUGGAGUUUCUGGCCAGAUUAGCAACCAAAGAUCUCUUACAACUAUUGCUUCUAAUUCUUGUGCCUUUUGAAGACAUAAAAUCCUUUGCUCUCUAUCCUUUUAGUAAAUCCUGAGACAUCUUCCUACUGUGAUUGAUAAAAUUAGAAUUAACAUGAGUUAUAGAGAAAAUGGAUGAAUUAAUGAAUGAAUAGGAAUAAAGUUUAAGCAUUAACCUGAAUAAAAUUUUAACCUUUGGUUUCUAUGGCAACCACAAGAAAAAACGAUGGAGAGGAAUAUAGAAAAAAAUCAAUUAAAGAAGAAGUUGAAUUGAUUGGACUUAAAUAGGAGAUGAAUCAGUUUAAAUCAUGCCAUGAUCUGAGUUGAACGUGUUGUUAGUGUGAGCAAUUUUAGGGAUAUAGGUUUUUUUACAGUUUUUGUUUCGUUAAAAUAUCAGUUUAUUUUAAUUUUUUCCUUUUCUUACACGAUCUCUAAUUUCUUUUAGAAUUGUUUUUUUUCUAAAUAAAAUUAUAAAUAAAUAGAAAUCUAUGUGGCAAAAUUUUAUUGGUCUUGUGACUUGUGCUUUAUAAUAUAAAGGAUAGGAAAAUUGUUUUUCUUCUGAAACCCUAGAACUAUAUAAUAAAGAAAAAAAAAAUACUAAAAACCCCUAGAACUGGGAACUACGAGAUUGUAGGCUUUGUGAAGUUAAUUAAGAUAUUCCACUUUUGGUUAAUCAUAAUUUAUAUUUACAAGGUUCGAUUGUUAUCUAUAGGAAUUAUAUGAAUGAAAAUAAUAUUGGAUGAUAGAAGAUUUACGAUUAAUUAACCUGUUUGUAACUAAGACAUGCUUUGUACACUGUUUUCUUGGUGAAUACUGGAAAUUGCACUUUAGUCAUUUUGAUAUAUCCGUCAAAGUUGAUUGAGUUUUGUGUGUUAAAUCUGUAAAGGUAUAUGAUACUCCUCGGCGGCAAGUUGUAGUUCAAAAUAUCCCAAGAUCUCGUUUCAAAGAAAAAUCAAUGCUAGAACUGAUUCGUACUCUAGAUGUUCCAUCCGGUAAGAAUGAUAUUUCACUGUGGUUUUGUUGCGGUGUUCUUUGCGUUAGACUUAAAUUCAAUUUAGUGUCUUUAAUGUUGUAGGAACCAAGGCAUUUGUAGCGAAAAUGAUUCUCUAUGAAGACGACAAUAUCAUGGUAAAAAAUUACUCAUCUUUUUCUACUUCAGUAUUUAUGAUAUGGAUUCAAUAAACUAAAACAUGAUUGUGUCUUUAUAUCUUAGGCUGCCUACAAUGCAGGACUUGGAUAUGGAUUAUGGACAGGAAUACUUCUCACAUCUAACAUUUCUGUUAGUUCCGUUGCUCCUUCGACAUGGAAGAAACAUUUUAAACUUAGUAUUUAUAGCCGGGUGAUGAAUCCUCACUCUCAAAGUUUUAUGAUUUCAUGUCUAACCUCUCAUCAGUUGCAAUAAAGAUUUUAUUUUCUUCAUAGGAUGGUGGCAGGAAACUCGCAUUGAAAAUGUUUCCAUCACUUAGUUCCCAAUUGACAAGGAGAAGGGACUAUGCUCGAGCUAAUGCACUACUCAUUGCUGCAUAUGGUCAUGCUACAAGUGAAACAAAAUAUUACUCAUUUUCUCAAAUUUAGUGACAUAUCUAAAAUAUCUGAAAAUGAGUAAUAUUUUGGCUGGUUUCAUUUAUAUGUAUAUUGCCUCUCUCUUCUUCCUUUGGCUUUGAGAAAAUUCUUCACUAAUUAAUUUGCAAAACAGUAUUUUUGAUUCUUCUUCUGUGUUCGAGUUCUAUAGUAGUAUUUAUCUCAUUUUCAAGCUGGGUGUUGUUAAUGUAGUUAGAUUAUGUUUUGACCCGACCUUCCUGACCAAAAACUCGACCCGACCGAAAUCCUCCUGACCCUACAAAUUAUAAAUAAGCUCCGACAAAACAACUUAAAAGUCACAUUAGAAUUAGAUGAUCUUAACACAUCCUUCAGCUUGCACACUGAAGAAAAGUUAUAAAUCAGCAGUAUAUAUCCAAUAUAAAUCUUAAAAUCUGGAACGACAAAAUAGAAUGAGUCAGGUCAGUGCCGGCGUUUGGGGUGUGCAAGUGGAGCAAUUGUUCUGGGUCCAAUUUUUUUGGGUAAAUUUAAGGGCCCAAAUUUUUUUUUUCUGUAUAGAAAAAAAUGUAAUUUUUAAAACUUUAAGAUAUCUUUAUUAUAAAAAAAGCCUAAAUAUUUUAUUUAGUAUGAAAGUGGUUAAUUUUUAAGUUUUUUUAACAUAACAAAGGCCCAAUUUUUUUUUUUUUUGGUAUGAAAAGAGCCAAUUUUUAAGAUUUGUACCAAGACUCUAAAUUAAUUGAGCCGGCCCUGGGUCAGGUCCAUUGGGAUUUAGAGCACCAUUAUCGGUGGAUCUAAAUGGAUGUAUAAAAGAUAAAAGAUCUAAAAAUAAAUAAAAAAACUAAAUAAAAGAAAUAGAUCCGGUUACAACUUUGGAUAUUUCCACCAGAUUUAGACUUGCAUACGUGUCACUUUUUGGUUGGUAGAAAAUAUGUGUAAAAAGAAAAAAAAAAUUAGGCCUGUGUUUUCUCUCUUUAACAGUUUUCCUCGACUCUUCCUCUCUCUUGUUCAUCUAUCACUGAUGGCGAAAUCGGAACCCAAAUCCGUCGAUUUGAGAACCGAAAUGAGUCUCAAAUGGUGUUGUCUGAGUGGUCGUUCUGCUGUUGUCUUCAUUUUCCACCGACUCUGGUUCAAAUCGGAGAGUUUGGUUUCUACCGUUCGAGAAUGGUUCACCAAAUCGUGAGAUUUGUGUUCAAGGAAGCUCCAAUUUCUUUCAAAUGGUAUGAAUCUAUCUGAUUUAAUGUGUAGCUCGUGAUAGAAUCUUCCAUUUUAUGCAAAUCGAAAUAAGGGUUCUUUGAGUUUUAAAAAAUUAGGGUUUUUCAUUUUAGCUUGAUUAGCUUAAUUUGAAAGAUUAAGCAGUCUCUGUUGGUAGUUAUUAGCCAUGAUUGAAGACGAAUUUAGGCAGUCUUGCUUGAUUUCGAUAAGUAAUUGCUUCAUUCUCUCUUUGAGUAUUGUUUAGUUUCGAAAACUGCAAUCUCUAAUUCUUGCUUGUUCUUUGUUGCAAAUUGAGGUUUUUGGGUCAUACAGGACAAGGCUUUAUCUUCCAACAAGUGAUAUAGAUGUAAGGGUUAAACAAUACUUUUGUUUCAUUUAGUCUGUUCGUUUCGUCGCCGCAGGCGGCAGCGGCGGCGGCAAACACUACCGCAGGUUGUUGUUCGUUUCGUCACCGCUGCCGCUGUCGCAUCUGUUCGUUUCGUCGCCGCUGCGACAAUUUUCAUUUAAUUCUUAUUUUAUUUUUAUAAAUUUGUAUAAUUAAAAAUAAAAUGUAAUUUAAAUAUAUUUAUAUCCAUAUGAAAUAUUUGUUUAGGUAUAAUUUAAAUAGUCAUGAGCUAACAGUGUUUCUUUUAUUAUGGAGUUUAUAGUAUGUGAAUGUGAUUGUUGAGAAAUCUAACAAAUAGUCAUGAGCUUACAAUGUUUCUUUAAUAUAUUACAUCACUUAAUAUAUUACAAAUUAACCUUAUUUGUAAGAAGGACAAGAUUUAAUAUAUUACAAAUUAACCUUAUUUGGGUUCAAAAGGUUUCAUCACUUAGAAUUCAAGCUCACACGAGCAAAUCGAGUACCAAGACAAAAUACAGGUUUUCACAAAUCUGACUUUCCUUACACACUGUUUUUGAUACACAUAAAGCUCAUAAGGUACAUAUUUCUAUUUUUACAUUCAUUAGUUGGAAGGAAUAACAAUAUCGCCAAGUGAGUUGCUAGGUUCUCCAAUGGUCCAGUCCCCGGGUAAGCCGACUGUUGCACACAGAAUCCUAUAAACGAAGACUAAACCUUUAAGAUAAACAUCACACACCAACUCAAUUAGAUUAAACUUAACAAGACUAAACCUUUAUGAUAAGACAAAGAUUGGAUAAUGAAACUUACAACAGCGAGCAUAGCCCAUCUACAGUGGAUGAGCUCUGAUUCUUUGUAUCUCUCAAGGUUCUCUGGAACUUCUCCAAGUCCAAGUGGGUCAAAUCCAAAGUCACUGCACAAUGUUGUACCCAAUAACUUGUCAUAAAAUAAGGUUUCAAUACAUUUAUCUAGAUUCUCUAGAUACAUAUCUAAAAGACCAUCAGUUUUGAGCUAUUUUCUACAACAAAAUAAACCCAAGACAACAGCUUUAAGCCUUUAACGUCAGAGAUUAUAUAUCAAUACUACUACCCUUUAGUUGUACUACUCAUUUUGACACCUAAAGGUGGACUUUACUUUCGUGAAGCAAGAGACAGAAUCAUAAAGCAUGAGACUCAAUUAACAAGCGUUAGUGAAGACAUGAAACAGUAACUAAUAUGAACUCUUCUUAAACAAAGUCUCUUAUGAACUACAAUACUGUGAACCCUUGACAAGUUCUUCAAAACAAACUUUCUUAUGAACUACAAUGGGAACAUAGCAGAUGACACAAACAACAAAAAGACUAGCUUUUAGCUAAAACCUUUAAAAUUUGUAGUGAGUGUUGUUAAUUCAACAAAUGAUAAAUAGAUCUGCAAGUUCAAAUACCCAAUUCUCAAAAAUCAAUAAGUAAGCUCAUCUAAUGCCUAAAGUAAAAACUUUAGUUAGAGAAAUCACUAUGAAACAACUCACGGAGAAGAUGGGUUUAAAAAGGACUACUUGAAAUCGAAUAAACCCAUAUUACAGAACAUUCUCAAUACAAAAAUCCAUUGAAUGGCAAAAACGUAAGCAUGAAUUAGAGAUAUAGAUUGAAAUUAGGAGGGACUAAAUCCAAAUUGCAAACGAAAUCAAAUUUACCUUUGAAGUCAGGAGAUUGAUGAACAGAGGAAGCUGAAUCAAGAACAAACUCGUCUGGGAACAAACUCGAAAUCGCCGAGCUUACUUCUCUGUUGUUUCAGUAAGAGAGAUCGAAUGUGUAAAAGAGAGAAGAGAAGAAGAGAAGCGUAGCUUUUUAGGGGGGGGGGGUAUUGGACGAAGGAAAUUGAUAGAAUUAAACAGAAUUUGAAUUCUAGUGUUAUUCAUUUUGACUUUUUGUAGAUUCUAUUAAAUUCUUGUGUUAUUGAAAUAACUAUUUGUAACCAUUCUUUUAAAAUAUUUUUAAUUCUAGUGUUAUUCAAUUUGUUGAAUUCUUAGUUCUAUUAAAUUCAAGUGUUAUUCAGUGUUAUGUAAAAUUCUAUGACACCAUUAUUUGACAAGAAUUUAAUAGAAAAAUUAGUGUAAAAUGUAUUGAACAAAUUCUGAGCCUUUAUGUUGUGAUUUCGGUGGAAAAAAAAAAGACGUACGGACUUCAAAUGGUUCUUCUUCUCAUUGUCAUCUCUUCUGGAGCCAAGACCUCAACAAAAUUUCCCUCAAAUGAUUCAUCUUAACAUUGACAUCUCUUCUAGAGCAACCAAGAGCCUCAUGUGCGAACCAUUAGCUAUGAACUCAUGUGCAACAUAUCUUCUUUUCCACCUCUGAUCUGCUCCAAGCUUGAUCCUUCACCACCAUCGAGAGUUUCCACAACCAUGACAUGUGCUAAUAGAGCCACCAGUGGUUUCCACCACCUAUGCGACUUCUCCAACUCUCUCCUUUUCUUCAUGGCUCUCUCUCUCUCUCUCCUCUUCUCCCUUUCUCUCUUUUUUGUGUUAACGAGAUUACUGUCUCUUUCAUCACAUCUCCACAUGAGACCUCACUUCUCAUGUUUUCUCGUAUCCUCCAGAGAUGCCAUGUGACCAUGUCUUAGCCGUGUCUCUCUUUCCAUUUGACGGAGUUGAUCGAGAAUCAACCACGGUGAGUCAAAAUGAAACAACGCCAAACGACGGCAACGACACAACAACUUCGGAUUGAUCUCCAUAUCAUCGUGAGCACAAGCUAGGAUGACAAUGACACGCUUGCUUUGGUAGCUGCGACAUCUGCAAGGUUUCGGGUGUGCUCGUGAGUCGUGAAUCGUGAUCUCUGUUUUUGUUAACGUGAGAACAACAAAGCAAAAAAAUUAUUUGAUACUCAUCAGUGCUGAAGCAUGUUUGUUAUUUUAUUCGUUAUGGAUAUGCUCCAAUUUUAUUAGAUAAGAAUGUUGUUGCUAGAUUUUCGAUACUUUUGAAAUUUAUUAAAUUAAUUAUUGUUUAUUAUAAAAUCUUGGAUGCUUCGACGGUGAACACACACACUUCUUCUUUCCAUCGCCACCGUCACCACCGCUACGGUGACCAGCGGUGGCUUCCACAUCUGUUGCCACCGUCAUUUCUGCCACCGGGGUAAUUUCGUGGAAGCUCUCCGGAGGGAUAACAAGAGGUAGAAGAAUUUUGUAAAUAUAUCUUUUCAAUUCUAUUGAAAUUUCUUUUCAAUUCUAUUGAAAUUUCUUUUCUUUUCUAUUAAAUUGUUGUAGAAUAUUCGUAGAAUUUGAAAGAAAGAUUUUAAAAAAUCUUUACAAGUACUUGUAAAUCUGUAUUUAUGUCUUUAAUUCAAUUCUAUUAAAUUCUAUGACAUUCUUUGCUUCAAUACCCCCUCCUUAGGUUUAGGUUUCUUUGUGAUUUCUUAAACAUAUUAAGGGUAAUAUUGUCAUUUACCACAUAGAUCGCAGCUAUUCAAUCGUUUGACGCUGAAUUUAAAUAGCGUCCAAAUUUUUUUGCCGCAGAACGCAGCGUUAUGCCGCAGGUAGUUGCGGCAACGAAACGAACAUGGAUACUUACGUCUGCCGCAGCAGCAGGUAGUUGCGGCGACGAAACGAACAUGCUAAUUGUCUCUGAAACUUUAUUUUAGCAACUCUCUUCUUCUUCUCUCUUUGUUGUCUUCUACAAGUGAUAUACAUAUAGUCCUCUGUAAGUUAAAUCUCAUGUUUCAAUUUAGUCAUCCACAAGUAGAGAUUAUUGUUUUUUUUCUAAGGGUUUUUUCUUAUCUUCUUUCAAUGUCUUGAUUUUUCUUUAAUCUCAAUAGUUUCCAAAACAAGUUUGCUUUGUUUAGUAAACUGUCUACAUCAUGUUUUGUUUAUGCUUUGUGUAUGAUCAAUGCUUGUUAGGUUAAUACUUAUCUCUCUUUCGUCUUUCUUUAUUUCUUUGUGUCUAUCCACAUGAAUUUGAUCAAGUUUGCUCUGUUUUGUUGAAGUUAAUUGGAGAAGUAGCAAGAGAUGAUCUAUCUGCAUGAAUUUGAUCAAUGCUUGAGGUUAUUACCAAUGAAGCAAGGUAAUUCUUCUUCCUUGGGACAAGGUAGGUCAAUCACAUUUCUGAAAUGUAAAAGGCUUCAACAAAUGAGAUCAGACUCUGUCAGUGAAACAGUAGGCUUCAGCACAGUAGCUAGAAGUGGUGGUGAUGCUUUGAGACCAACUUCAUGAAUGGAGACGAGUUCUUCUUUCUUUUGUACCAGGGGACAAAGAUGAACUUGUGUCUCAAGUUUUUUAAUAUGAUAAAUAUAGUUUAUGUCUCAAGUUUUGUAAAAGACUUUUACAAAUUUUUUCAAAAAUUUAAAUUUUUGGAUCCUCAAUUUUGGAUCUACCAUUGGAGUGUGAAAAAAAUAAAAAACUAACUAAGUGUCUAAAUUUCAAAUUUUGCAUUAUUUACAAUUAUAAAUAUGGUUUGGACUCCUAAUGUGAGUCCAGCCAUUGGAGAUACUCUUAGAGGCCUAAGAGCGACAAUAAUGGUGGAGAAAUAUUUAUAAGAGCAAGUCCAAUGGUAGAGUCUCUUUGAACAAAUAUUUAUAAGAGCAAGUCCAAUGGUAGAGUCCUUAGAGCAUGUUUAUCAAUAAACCCUAAUGAGUAUCAUAAGCCUUUUUUUAGUAUUAAAUUAAGAAAACAUUGAAUUAUACAUAUAUGUCCCUAUUUAAUAAGUGAUUUAUGAUUCAAAUUUAAUGAAAAGUAGCUUUAAGUUAAGGGUAAAUCAAGAAGUUUUGUAUAAAAGUUACAUUGAAAAUAUGGAAUGACACUCUUUGUGAAACAAAAAUCAAACUCUAGAAUGACACUCUUUGUGAGGGAGCAUAGUGUUGACUAAAUUGUUGAUGCAGUUAUUUUUUUCCUAAUUAAAAUAAAAAUUAAAUACACAUUCGAAACUCAUGUUCUGUCUCAUAGUUCACUUUGAUGCAGUGGCAGUGCAGGUUCAGAAAAAGAGAAAAAGAGAAAAAGAGAAAAAAGAAUCACUUUUUAUUUUCUUCUCUCAAAGUCGAAGCGGAUUCAACCACAAAACCCAAAAUUCGAAAUUCCUCUACUCGUUAAAGUGUGUUCCUUUUUUCUCCGUUCGUCAUGCAUUCCUCGUUGGAGCCGGAGAAAAUGGAGGAAAAUUCAC
rnacentral:lncRNA from 1 species